UGGUGAAAGAAUCGUUUCGUCUGCAUCCUGCAUUGCCUUUAUUAGUACCACGCAGAGCAAGCGAGAGUGGCAGCAUUGGUGGCUAUACCAUUCCCAAAGAUACAACUCUUAUGUUGAAUGUUUGGGCUAUCCACAGGGACCCUCAACUUUGGGAUAAUCCCUUAGAAUUUCGACCCGAGAGGUUUCUGAAUGUUGGUAUCGAGAGUAAGUUCGAUUACUCAGGUAACAAUUUUCAGUACUUGCCAUUUGGUUCCGGUAGAAGGAUGUGUGCUGGGAUUCCUCUAGCUGAGAGGAUGCUGAUGUUUGUUUUGGCUUCGUUAUUGCACUCAUUCGAGUGGGAAUUGCCAGCUGGCACAAAGCUAAACUUAUCUGAAAAAUUUGGGAUUGUCAUUAAGAAAAAAGAGCCUUUGGUUGCUAUUCCAACACCAAGACUAUCCAAUUCAGAGCUCUACCAUUAAGACAGAAUGAUUGUGAUGAUUUUGUUAGUAUCGGAAGAUUUGUAUGUUAUUUCAAGUUCAAUCGUAAUAAAAUAUUUUAAUAAAAGUCCUCCGUUGCUAAUUUUUUUUUUUCAACGGCAUAAUCUGUCAUCGUGCUUGUGUUUGGAGCUACUUUGGAAUGAUUAUUUUUGAAUUACAAUUUAUAAAUAUUUACGUUUUAAAUUUUUUAUAAGAGUCUAAAUUUAUACACGUUCAGUAAAAGAUUCCCUAAAAGCUUUACAAUUCAAAAUUCUAUUAAAAGUAUAGAUGAAACUUUUAUACCUACUAAUUUUUUGGUCUAUUCUACGAGUUUAAAGAGGAGAUAUUUCUAGAGUUAGCAAAAAGUGUUACAUGAUUGUUUUCGCGUAAUGUCAUUUUUUAUUGUGUUAAAUUUAGUUUGACUCAAAUAUGACCCAUUUAAUAAUCGUGUCAAAAUAUUGAAAUUUGAACUCAACACAGAAAAUAAAUGGGUGACCAGUCACACCCAUUUAAUAAUUAGGUAACCAUGUCACUUAAUACGACAUAACCCAAUAACUCGUUUAAUACAUAUUUAACAUAAUUUAUAUUGUACAUUGUACACCCUUUUGUCAUAAAUUACACUAUUUUAUAUUUCUAAAUAAUAUUAUAUAUUGAUAUUGUAUAAAAAAAAUCAAUAAUCUCAAAAUUUGUACACCUCCUAACUUUUAAAAAGAAAUAAAAAACUAAUUAAUUAAUGUUUAUUUUAUUCAUUAAUAUAUCAUAAUCCUACAUGUGUUUUAUUUGUUAUUUUUUUAUUUAAAAAGAUAGGAAGGUGGAUGAAACUCAAAUAAAUUUUUAGCCUAUCUUGAUCUUUCAAGUUUCUUAUUUAAGUGGCCAGCUAAAGAAAAUUACUUGAAGCUACUCCAUCAAUUUAACAAAUUUUAUUUAUUUAUUUAAUGGAGGUGUAGAAAAUAAAAGUAUCUGCAAGCACAUUGCAAUAGUGAAAGCAAUGUACCGGUGUUGCAACAUAACUGAACCUUGAUAACCGAUCACAUAUUUUAAGUUUUAACAUUGGUAGUUCACGGAUCGGUUUCUACUUCCACGAACAAUUAUUGAAGGAAAUGAGUUUUUUUUUUAAUGAAUAUUUAUAGACCCCGAUUAAAUAUUCGAAUAUAUAAUAAAAGAGAAACUGACAUAGAAAUGAGAAAGAUAUUUGGAGGAGGCAAAAAAAAAAAAAAAAAAAAUGCAACAGAGAAUUAGAUCAGUAACACAAAUAACUAAUUAAUUCAUCUAUACAUCAUAAUCCUAUUUGUAUCUUCUUCCUUCUUCUAAUUUACAUAUAAAUUUGGUUAGAUAAAACAUAUUUUAAUACUCGGUCACAAGCGGUGGAUAUAGAAAAUUAAUUUAGAGGGGGUAAUACCAUAACGAAAAAUAAUGAUUCAUAAUUAAAAUCAACCCCAACAUCAAAACUUAUUUACAAGAUUACGCCCAGUCAAAGGUAAAUUUUCUUAAAAACUAAUAUGAAAUUAAAUAAAUUUAACUUUUAGUGGGUUCAAGUGCCCACGCAUUCUGAACGUAGAUCCACCCCUGGCCCCGACUGAAGCAUUUUUUUACAAUAUGUACUCAGUUUAUCAGCAGGAACAACCUUCCACUUUAAAUUAAAAUUUUCACUUAAAAAUGAUUAAUGUUAAUGAGGUUAGCAACAAAAAUGAGUUUAAUUAGAGAAUAUUAUAAGAGAAAUUAUAUUUUUUGACUUUUAAUAAAUUAAAAUAUAUUAAAAUAUUAUUAGUUGGUGGUGGUUUCACGUCAGAUUAAGACGUGACACUUUACUUAUGAGGUCGAGACAAUCGACUUAAAUUAUUUCAAUGCAUUUAAAAUUUAUACUAAUGGCUAUUAUUCUUUAUCCAAAUUAAUACGAUAAUUAAUAACAUACAAUUGAAAUAAUUAAUAUUAUCACUUGGCAAUAAAUAAAGCUCUUGUGCUUGAAUCGUCACACAUGAUCAUUUCAUUCCUUUAUUUACUUUGCUAACACAGAUUUUGAGGCAUUAAAACUAAAUAAUAAUUGAAUAUGGCUUUGUGCGUCGCUGACGCCAGCAGCAAGGGGACCUCAAUUAUCACUUUUUAAGUUGAUUAUUGCAGUGUUUUUAUUUUUUAUAUUAAAAUUAAGUCGAUUUGUUAUAAUAAACUUAGUUGAGUUUAAUGGUAUUACUACAAAAAUUGAAUAGUCAUUAAAUAUUUUAAUAUUUUUAUCGCAAUCAUUGCUGUAGCAUUUAUUUAUUGUAUGAUGAAUUUUAAAAUUUAUAAAAUUAUUUGUUAUUUAAUUACCCCAGAUGCUACAUCACCUGAAACUUAAUAAAGGGAACGUAGCAUUGCCAUUACUCAACAUUCACUCUUAUGACUUUUUUUUUUUUUUUUGUUUUAUCUACUAGGUAUUCUGGGGAGGGCCCCAACUGUGGGAGGCACCUUUAAGCCCAUACCACAAUUCAGAUUAGAAGUCCCCGCUCGAACCAGGAGGCACAUGUUCUCCCAACAAAGACGACUUCCCUGCGACUCGAACUGUGAAGCAAACCCAGUCAAACCACUUAAAGGGACUCCAUUACCAGUGGAGCCAACACUUUAUUGGUACUCUUAUGACUUUAUGACAUUAGAAUUAAAAUCUUUCGUACAUUUAAUUUGUUUGCUUCCAAAUUAAAUCUUUAAUAAAUAUUUUUUUCACAUUAUCAUGAAUGGACAAAACUCCAACGAAAAUAACUACACAAGAACAAUCUAUGCUAGUAUUAUAUGCCACGAUAUCUAUAACUUUGUCAGGAUCGAUCGGUCUAAUUUUUACGCAGAACUUUUUGUCAAUCGACAAACACCUCACAGAGCUUGUCACCUGUCAGCCGCAUUAUUACGAUGUAAAAUUGCACCGGAAUAUCUUGAAUUAUUAGUAGAAUAACGAAGACUAUUUGGAGCAAUAAAAACAAAUAACGCAGAUGAAAACAAUGGCUGAAAUUAUGUAAGUGAGCCCCAAAGUUUUUGCUAUUUCCUGGAAAUCCCCAAUUUGAAUGGACUAGAGGGAGGCACGUAAGAAAUACAUUUUCUUCCUAGACAAUGACAGCUAUGCAUCAAGCCACGGUGGCGUCAGUAUUGAAAUUAAGGUGUAAUUAUUCAGCCAAUGAGCCUUACACAUCAAGAUAAAAGUCAAGAAAAUGGAAAUUUGGCCGUUUCCAUUUUGAAGUUAAAAACAAAGUUUCUUUCGUUUUGUGGGCGACUCGACUGAUCAGUUGGUGGACACCUCUAUUGAAAAUAUCUCUGACAUUUCACUCGACAAACUUGUUAAUACAAAAAAUCUAUGAUUUUAUCGUCUGUAUACUGUAGAAAAAAAUUGUCUAUACAUCUGUGGUAUAGAUUUUAUGUAUUUCAUUACAAAAUGCUGGCCGUUAGAACUCUAUCUACAUCUAUUUAUAAGAUAUUUCGUUAUAAUUCAUUCUGAAACACUAAAACUAAAUAAUCGAAUAUGGCUUUCCCGAUCGAUGAUGCCAGCAGCAAUGAGACUGCAAUUAUCACUUGUUUAGUUUCUGUGCUUGCCGUGGUUUAUUUCGCAUGGAAUGUGAAAAAAUCAAGGAAAGCAAAUGCUACACUGCCACCAGGACCUCGCGGCUUGCCUGUAUUCGGAUACCUCCCAUUUCUCGGAAAUACUGACUUACACAAGAAGUUCACGGAAUUAUCUGGAGUUUAUGGUCCGAUCUUCAAGCUUUGGCUUGGAAAUAAAUUGUGUGUAGUGGUGAGCUCACCUUCCCUAAUUAGACAAGUGGUUCGUGAUCAAGAUACAACAUUCGCGAACCGUGACCCACCGAUGGCUGCACUAGUGGUCUCCUAUGGUGGCAAUGAUAUUGUACGGUCCAAUUACGGUCCCGAAUGGAGAAAGUUGCGCAAAUUUUUUGUGGGCAAGAUGAUGAGUAACGCAAGCCUUGAUGCUUGUUAUGCUCUAAGAAAACAAGAGGUUAAAAAUACUAUCAGGGAUUUGUACAACAACGACAACAAAAUUGGUAAGCCCAUUGACAUUGGUGAAUUGUCGAUUUCAACCUUGGUAUGUGCUAUGCAGAACAUGCUGUGGGCCUGUGGGGUGAAGCGCUUGAAAUAAGAGAGGAAGGGAUCACUAAUCAUGGGGCUGAGCUAAAAUUUAAGCUGGCAGAACUCAUGGUGCUAGCGGGAACACCGAAUAUUUCAGACAUCUUUCCAAUGCUUUCAUGGCUCGACAUACAAGGUAUAGAGAGGAGAGCAAAGAAGAUUUCACUCUGGUUUGAACAUAUUAUAAAUUCUACUGUUGAAAAGCAUAGAAGCAAGGACUUUAUUGUUGAAGGCAAAGAAAGAGCAGGGAAAAAUUUGGAAGGAUCAAGGAACAAGAACUUCUUGCAGUUACUAUUGGAGCUUCAAGAAAAUGAAGACGGUUCUUCCUCAAUUAGCAUGAACCAAUUUAAGGCCGUACUCGUGGUAUGUUAAGCAACUAGCCGCAAACAGUUAAACAAGCACAGCUGUAUAUUUUGCAUGAGUGAUAUUUUCAACUUUUUUUUUAAUUAGAAUUUUAUUGUAACCUUUUGGACAGGAUAUAAUUACGGGUGGAACCGACACCACAACUACGAUGGUGGAAUGGACAAUGGCAGAGUUGAUACAGCAUCCACAAGUAAUGAAGAAAGUUCAGGAAGAAUUAGCUCAAGUUGUGGGCAUGGACAGUUGUGUUGAAGAAUUUCAUUUGCCUAAACUGAAAUAUUUAGAUGCUGUGGUGAAAGAAUCGUUUCGUCUACAUCCUGCAUUGCCUUUAUUAGUACCACGCAGAGCAAGCGAGAGUGGCAGCAUUGGUGGCUAUACCAUUCCCAAAGAUACAACUCUUAUGUUGAAUGUUUGGGCUAUCCACAGGGACCCUCAACUUUGGGAUAAUCCCUUAGAAUUUCGACCCGAGAGGUUUCUGAAUGUUGGUGUCGAGAGUAAGUUCGAUUACUCAGGUAACAAUUUUCAGUACUUACCAUUUGGUUCUGGUAGAAGGAUGUGUGCUGGGAUUCCUCUAGCUGAGAGGAUGCUGAUGUUUGUUUUGGCUUCGUUAUUGCACUCAUUUGAGUGGGAAUUGCCAGCUGGCACAAAGCUAAACUUAUCUGAAAAAUUUGGGAUUGUUAUUAAGAAAAAAGAGCCUUUGGUUGCUAUUCCAACACCAAGACUAUCCAAUUCAGAGCUUUACCAUUAAGACAGAAUGAUUGUGAUGAUUUUGUUAGUAUCGGAAGAUUUGUAUGUUAUUUCAAGUUCAAACGUAAUAAAAUAUUUUAAUAAAAGUCCUCCGUUGCUAUUUUUUUUUUUCAACGGCAUAAUCUGUCAUCAUGCUUGUGUUUGGAGCUACUUUGGAAUGAUUAUUUUUUAAUUACAAUUUAUAAAUAUUUACAUUUUAAAAUUUUUAUAAGAGUCUAAAUUUAUACAUGUUCAAUAAAAGAUUCCCUAAAAAUUUUACAAUUCAAAAUUCUAUUAAAGUAUAGAUGAAACUUUUAUACCUACUAAUUUUUUGGUCUAUUCUACGAGUUUAAAGAGAAUAUAUUUUUAGAGCUAGCAAAAAGAGGUACUUGAUUGUUUUCGCGUUAUGUCAAUUUUUUUAUUGUGUUAAAUUUAAUUUGACCCACAUAUGACCCAUUUAAUAAUUGUGUCAAAAUAUCAAAAUUUAAACUCGACACGGAAAAUAAAUGGAUGACCAUACACACCCAUUUAAGAAUUAGGUAACUAUGUCACUUAAUACGAUAUAACCCAAUAACUCGUUUAAUACAUAUUUAACUUAAUUUACAUUGUACAUUGUACAACCUUUUAUCAUAAAUUACACUAUUUUAUAUUUCUAAAUAAUAUUAUAUAUUGAUAUUAUAAAAAAAAAUCAAUAAUCUCAAAAUUUGUACACCUCCUAACUUUUGAAAAGAAAUAAUAAAACUAAUUAAUUAAUGUUUAUUUUAUUCAUUAAUAUAUCAUAAUCCUACAUGUAUUUUAUUUGUUAUUUUUUUUUAUUUAAAAAGAUAGGAGGGUGGAUGAAACUCAAAUAAAUUUUUAGCCUAUCCUGAUCUUUCAAGUUUCUUAUUUAGGUGGCCAGCUGAAAAAAAUUACUUGAAAGCUACUCCAUCAAUUUAACAAAUUUUAUUUACUUAAUUAAUGGAGGUGUAGAAAAUAAAAGUAUCUGCAAGUACAUUGCAAUAGUGAAAGCAAUGUACCGGUGUUGGAACAUAACUGAACCCUGGUUACCUAUCACAUAUUUUAAGUUUUAACUUUGGUAGUUCACGGAUCGGUUUCUACUUCCACGAACAAUUAAUGUAGGAAAUGAGUUUUCUUUAUUUUUUAAUGAGUAUUUAUAGACCCCGAUUAAAUAUUGGAAUCUAUCUAUCUAUAUAUAUAUAAAGUUAGGACUUGAGGAGGUGAUGUAGCAUCACCAUUUCUCAUCUUUGUAUAUUCUCUAUUAUCUAAUAAAUAGAGAAAUUUUCUUUUACAUUUAGUUUUUCAUCUUCUCAUAAUUAAUUUGAUUGUCAUUACACAAUAACAAUUAUGUAAAGAUUUUAAUGAGACAUAUUUUUUGUAAUGAACAAGGAGGAGUAUUAUGAAUUUAUUAAAAUAAAUGUAGAUGUUCAUAACAUAUAUCUCUUAGUCUCCUCACUAUCUCUCAUUAGCAACAUUUAGCUUCCCUAUAACUCCCACUAUCUCAUAAGGAAUUAUGAUCCAUAAUUUUUCAUUAAUUUCAUGGAGUGAUUAUGUAACUAUAAAAGAAGAGCUCAUCUUUUUGUUUUGUACACACACAAUUGGAAUGAAUAAAAUCACUCUAUAAUAUAUUCUCUCAUUUUAUUCUUUAUUUUGCGUUGCUUCUUUAUUUGUAUUGCUGGCUAAUAGUUUUUAUUUUUAUUUUUUAUAAGGUUGCCUCAUCUUAAAAAAAAAUCAAUUCAUAUUUUUUAUCAGUUUCAUCAAGUGUAAAGUAAGAAAAAAAUAUAAUACUAAUUUUUUUUUUCAAAUAAAUGUAGAUGUUCAUAACAUAUAUCUCUUAGUCUCCCAACUAUCUCUCAUUAGCAACAUUUAGCUUCCCUAUAACUCCCACUAUCUCAUAAGGAAUUUUGAUCCAUAAUUUUUCAUUAAUUUCAUGGAGUGAUUAUGUAACUAUAAAAUAAGAGCUCAUCUUUUUUGUUUUGUACACACAUAAUUGGAAUAAAUAAAAUCACUCUAUAAUAUAUUCUCUCAUUUUAUUCUUUAUUUGUAUUGCUGGCUAAUAGUUUUUAUUUUUAUUUUUUAUAAGGUUGCCUCAUCUUAAAAAAAAAUCAAUUCAUAUUUUUUAUCAGUUUCAUCAAGUGUAAAGUAAGAAAAAAAUAUAAUACUAAUUUUUUUUUUCAAAUAAAUGUAGAUGUUCAUAACAUAUAUCUCUUAGUCUCCCCACUAUCUCUCAUUAGCAACAUUUAGCUUCCCUAUAACUCCCACUAUCUCAUAAGGAAUUUUGAUCCAUAAUUUUUCAUUAAUUUCAUGGAGUGAUUAUGUAACUAUAAAAUAAGAGCUCAUCUUUUUUGUUUUGUACACACAUAAUUGGAAUAAAUAAAAUCACUCUAUAAUAUAUUCUCUUAUUUUAUUCUUUAUUUUGCGUUGCUUCUUUAUUUGUAUUGCUGGCUAAUAGUUUUUUUUUUUUUUUUUUAUAAGGUUGCCUCAUCUUAAAAAAAAAUCAAUUCAUAUUUUUUAUCAGUUUCAUCAAGUGUAAAGUAAGAAAAAAAUAUAAUACUAAAUUUUUUUUUCAAAGCCGCGUGAAGCGCGGUUCUAUUUUCUAGUAUAUAAUAAAAGAGAAACUGACAUAGAAAUGAGAAAGAUAUUUGGAGGAGGCAAAAAAAAAAAAAAAAAAUGCAACAGAGAAUUAGAUCAGCAACACAAGUAACUAAUUCAUCUAUACAUCAUAAUCCUAUUUGUAUCUUCUUCCUUCUUCUAAUUUACAUAUAAAUUUGGUUAGAUAAAACAUAUUUUAAUACUUGGUCACAAGUGGUGGAUAUAGAAAAGGGUAAUUUUCAGUUUCAUCACCUGAGGUUUGGGGUCCCUUCAGUUAGAUAGAUUCUAUGAGGGUAUCUCCACUUUGCACUCCUACCGUUCGUAUAAUGUUUAGUAUAAGUUUAGUUUACGAGAAUAAAUAAGUAAUUGCAUGAUAAAUUAUUAAAUAUUAAGAUAAUUUUGAAUUUUUACACUCUGCAAACUGGAACCUGUUGAAACAUUGUGGUGCUCGCUAGCCAAUAAUCAAAAAUCAAACGACACCCAUUUUGAAGAAACCCUAAGACAAAAUCAAACGACACCCAUUUCAAGCUUAUUAACUAGAGAGAUUUCGAAGAAACCCUAAGUCAAAAUCAAACGACACCCAUUUCUCAUUCCACUCUCCUCGAACUCGAAUCCCUCUUACAAUCGAUUGAUCCAGACACCCUUUACCGAUUCACCGAUCAACUCUCCUCCAAAAAAACUCUCUUUAUCCUCUCUCAUUCCUCCAAUUUCUUGCGCCAUGGAUGCGGGCCCCACCAAUAUCUCCCUCUUGGCCUCCAAAAUUUACCUUGCAUUGCUUCUCUCCCCGAACUCCCCUGUCUUCACUUUGUUCACUCCCAUGGCGUUCCUCUCCCUUCGCCGCUCCCUCAAGAGUUUUAAGCGCGUGUCUGAUAGCGGGUCCCACUCUAGUGUUAACCACAAAAGAAAAGGUGGUGGCAGGCGGGUUCAGCGGGCGAAUGAAUUUAACGAGGAUGAGAGCGAGGGUGGAUUUGAUGCUAGGAGUUUGUGUUUGGUUGUUGAGAAGUUGGAAUUUGUUGUGGGGUUGGUUUAUUUGAAUAGAUUUCUAGAUUGUUUGAAGUCUUUGAUACAGACUGUUGUUGAGAUUCUGGUCUCUUUGCUUGAAUUGGGAGGUUAUGAGAAAUUGAAUGUUUGUUUUCAGGGAUUUUGAUUAAGUUGUUGAGGGGGGAGCAUGGUGAUGUGAUGAGUACAACUGCAUAGGUUUUGAAGUCAUUAGUGCCAUUGAUUUUGAUGGGCAAAUGUCAAGCGAGGAGUUUUGCAUUAGGAUUUUUGAUGAAUGGAGUGAUGGGUGUGGCUAAAGAGAUCGACGGGGUCAAGAAGGCAGUUGUGAAUUUGCCGAAGUACUUGGUGAACAAGGCCCUGGAGAAGGCCGAGCUGAGGGGAUUAGCUGUGGAGGCAAUUAUGGAGAUUGUUAAAGCAAUGGAGGUUGAGGAUCAAAUGGGGUUUGUUGAAUAUACUGUUAAAGCUGACUAAAGGGAAGGCUAAUCUUAGCCUAGUUGCAGUUGAUCUGAUAUUAAUGCUAAUGACGUCGAUGAGAGAUCCAUUGAAUCUCUCGUUUACGACAUUCAGUUUAGUUAAUAAGCUUGAAAAAAAAAAAAAAGGGGCUCCAGUUGGUUAUUAAAAUAGUUUUAUUGAUGCAAGGGUGUUUUAGUCAUUUAAUCAGUCAAUUAACAGUCAAAUAAAUGUUAUCCUAACGGUAGGGGUGUAAAGUGGAGAUACACUCAUACAAUCUAUCAAAGUGAAAGGACCCCAAAUCUCAGGGGAGGAAACCGAAAAUUACCCAUAUAGAAAAUUAAUUUAGAGGGGGUAAUACCGUAACGAAAAAUAAUGAUUCAUAAUUAAAAUCAACCCCAACAUCAAAACUUAUUUACAAGAUCACCCCCAGUCAAAGGUAAUUUUUCCUAAAAACUAAUACGAAAUUAAAUAAAUUUAACUUUUAGUGGGUUCAAUUGCCCACGCAUUCUGAACGUAGAUCCACCCCUGGCCCCGACUGAAGCAUUUUUUACAAUAUGUACUCUGUUUAUCAGCAGGAACAACCUUCCACUUUAAAUUAAAAUUUUCACUUAAAAAUGAUUAAGGUUAAUGAGGUUAGUAACAAAAAUGAGUUUAAUUAGAGAAUAUUAUAAGAGAAAUUCUAUUUUUUGACUUUUAAUAAAUUAAAAUAUAUUAAAAUAUUAUUAAUUGGUGGUGGUUUCACAUCAAAUUAAGACAUGACACCUAAUUUAUGAGGUGGAGACAAUCGGCUUAAACUAUUUUAAUGCAUUUAAAAUUUGUACUAAUGACUAUCAUUCUUUGUCCUAAUUAAUACGAUAAUUAAUAACAUACAAUUGAAAUAAUUAAUAUUAGCACUUGGCAAUAAAUAAAGCUCUUGUGCUUGAAUCGGCGCACAUGAUCAUUUCAUUCCUUUAUUUACUUUGCUACCACAGAUUUUGAGGCAUUAAAACUAAAUAAUAAUUGAAUAUGGCUUUGUGCGUCGAUGACGCCAGCAACAAGGGGACCGCAAUUAUCACUUUUUAAGUUGCUACUAAAAUUGAUUUUAGUAGUGAUAUGAUUAUUGCAGUGUUUUUAUUUUUUAUAAUAAAAUUAAGUCGAUUUGUUAUAAUAAACUUAGUUGAGUUUAAUGGUAUUAUUACAGAAAUUAAAGUCAUUAAAUAUUUUAAUAUUUUUAUCGUAAGCAUUGACAUGGUAUUUAUUUAUUUAUUGUAUGAUGGAUUUUAAAAUUUAUAAAAUUAUUUGUUAUUAAAUUACCCCCAGAUGCUACAUCACCUGAAACUUAAUAAAGGGAACGUAGCAUUGCCAUUACUCAACAUUCACUCUUAUGACUUUAUGACAUUAGAAUUAAAAUCUUUCGUACAUUUAAUUUGUUUGCUUCCAAAUUAAUCUUUAAUAAAUAUUUUUUUCACAUUAUCAUCAAUGGAAAAAACUCCAACGAAAAUAACUACACAAGAACAAUCUAUGCUAGUAUUAUAUGCCACGAUAUCUAUAACUUUGUCAGGAUCGAUCAUUCUAAUUUUUACGCAGAACUUUUUGUCAAUCGACAAACACCUCACAGAGCUUGUCACUUGUCAGCCGCAUUAUUACGAUGUAAAAUUGUACCGGAAUAUCUUGAAUUAUUAGUAGAAUAACGAAGACUAUUUGGAGCAAUAAAAGAAUCCAGCUGUGGUGCCACAAUUAUAUGGUACCACAGCUGGAUCUAACCAUUAAAUUUAGCUCUGGUGACAAUUGUGGGUUAGAUCCAAUGGUUGGAUCCAUCUGUGGUACCAUACAACAGUGGUACCACAGAUUUGUCCGCAAUAAAAACAAAUAACGCAGAUGAAAACAAUGGCUAAAAUUAUGUAAGUGAGCCCCAAAGUUUUUGCUAUUUCCAGGAAAUCCCAAAUUUGAUUGGACUAGAGGGAGGCAGGUAAGAAAUACAUUUUCUUCCUAGACAAUGACAGCUAUGACAUCAAGCCACUGCUAUUAUUAAUUAUCCCCUGGUCAUUACAGUUUGUUAAUAUUCAUUCUGAAACAGUAAAACAAAAACGAAAUUGAAUACAUCAACGAGACCGCAAUUAUCACUUGUUUAGUUGCGGUAUUUAACUUAAUUUUAAUCUAAUAUAUUUGUUAGUUAAACUUUUAAUAAUCAAAUAAUUUUGAUUUAAAAAUAAAGUUAUAGAAAUUAAUAAUUAUUAAAAAUUCACAAUUAAGGGAACGUUCAUCAAACACACAUAGCUAUUGUUUUCUCUAUAUAUUGCAGUGUGUACGAUAUUGAGGGUUGAAGUCCCAAGCAUGCUCUAAAAUCCAGAUAAUAUUUAGAUCCAAGCAAACUAGAGUAGUGAUUUAAUGAAAAUCAUAUGUAUUGAAAAAAAAUGAAAAGAGGUCAUAAACUAGAACAAAAAUAUAAUCAUAUUCAAGUAAACUUAAUAGAUAAACCCUAAGUUCGUGCACGAGAGUUGAACUCUAUGAAUUUUACUCAAUAAUUUGAUGCAUACAAAAUAUAUACGAGUUUAUGAGUGACGUAUAAGUACUAAAAGAGUUAAGUAAUAAGUAAAUAAAAUAAACCAAGUGGCAUGACAUUGAUUCAAUAUUAUUGUAUCAAUAUUUAUGAAAGAAAUUGUAUUAAAAUUAAAUUGUAUGUUGAGUAUUGAUCUUGUCGUCUCAUUAUGUUUAGAUAUCUUAAUAUUAAAUCGAUAUAUGUUGUAUCGUUGGUUGAUUAAAUGUCAUAUCAUUUAAAGUAUAUCCUUAACUAACUGAAUUAAUAGCAUAAAUAAUUUAUUUCAAGAAGUCUUUGACCAGGUAAUGUAAAUGAGAUUUGCAGCUUUGAGAAGAAACAUAAUAUUUCAAACGUAGAAUAUUAAAACGUAACUAUCAUAUUAUCAUUCUUGUUUUUUAAAUCUGAAUAAUUGAGAAUGCAAUUUUAGAAGUCAACUUUAAUGAGAUCGCAUACCAAUUCCAAUAUUUAAUCAAAUCUUGACCGUCCCUCAAUCAAUCAACGGUGCGAAACAAUUAGUGAAUCCACAUAUGAGCCAUGAUUAGUUGGUGGUGAUGAAGGCUGUUAUUGGCGGAGCUCAAAGUUAUUAUGUGCAUGUUGGGUGGAUAUCUCUAUUGAAAAUAUCUCUGAUAUUUCACUCGACAAACUUGUUAAUAUAAAAAAUCUAUGGUUUUGCCGUCUGUAAACUGUAGAAAAAAUUGACUCUACGUUAAUCUAAAUGUUUGAGGUGAUUAGAAAUUACCGACUAUAAAGGGGAAUAAUUUAUAGGUUGAUUGAUACAUCUCUAUUGAAAAUAUCUCUGACAUUUCACUCGACAAACUCAUUAAUAUAAAAAAUCUAUGGUUUUGCCAUCUGUAUACUGUAGAAAAAUUUGUCUAUACAUUAAUCUAGAUGUUGGAGGUGGUUAAUAUUUUAUGUAUUUCAUUAUCAAAUGCUGGCCGUUGGGACCCUAUCUACAUCUAUUAAUAAGAUUAACAGGUGCCAGACUAGGCCAUUACAAAUUAUCCCCUCAUCAGAUAUUUCGUUAAAAUUCAUUCUGAAACACUAAAACUAAAUAAUUGAAUAUGGCUUUGCGGGUCGAUGAUGCCAGCAGCAAUGAGACUGCAAUUAUCACUUGUUUAGUUUCUGUGCUUGCCGUGGUUUACUUCGCAUGGAAUGUGAAAAAAUCAAGGAAAGCAAAUGCUAAACUUCCACCAGGACCUCGCGGCUUGCCUGUAGUCGGAUACCUCCCAUUUCUCGGAACUACUGACUUGCACAAGAAAUUCACGGAAUUAUCCGGAGUUUAUGGUCCGAUCUUCAAGCUCUGGCUCGGAAACAAAUUAUGUGUCGUGGCGAGCUCACCUUCCCUAGUUAAACAAGUGGUUCGAGAUCAAGAUACAACAUUCGCCAACCGUGACCCGCCGAUCGCUGUACUAGCGUUCACCUAUGGUGGCAAUGAUAUUGCAUGGUCCAAUUACGGUCCCGAAUGGAGAAAUUUGCGCAAAGCUUUUGUGGGCAAGAUGAUGAGUAACGCAAGCCUUGAUGCUUGUUAUGCUCUAAGAAAACAAGAGGUUAAAAAUACUAUCAGGGAUUUGUACAACAACGACAACAAAAUUGGUAAGCCCAUCGACAUUGGUGAAUUGUCAAUUUCAACCUUGGUAUGUGUUAUUCAGAACAUGCUGUGGGGUGAAGCGCUUGAAACAAGAGAGGAAGGGAUCACUAAUCUUGGGGCUGAGCUAAAAUUUAAGCUGGCAGAACUCAUGGUCCUAAUGGGAACACCGAAUAUUUCGGACGUCUUUCCAGUGCUUUCAUGGUUUGAUAUACAAGGUAUAGAGAGGAAAGCAAAGAAGAUUUCACUCUGGUUUGAAAAUAUUAUAAAUUCUACUGUUGAAAAGUAUAGAAGCAAGGACUUUAUUGUUGAAGGUAAAGAAAGAGCAGGGGAAAAUUUUGAAGGAUCAAGGAACAAGAACUUCUUGCAGUUACUAUUGGAGCUUCAAGAAAAUGAAGACGGUUCUUCCUCAAUUAGCAUGAACCAAUUUAAGGGCGUGCUCGCGGUAUGUUAAGCAACUAGCCACGAACAGUUAUACAAGCACAGUUGUAUAUUUGCAUGAGUGACGCUUCUCAACUUUUUUUAAUUUUUUAAAUUAAAGUUUUAUUGUAAUCUUUUGAACAGGAUAUAAUUACGGGUGGAACCGACACCACAACUACGAUGGUGGAAUGGACAAUGGCAGAGUUGAUGCAGCAUCCACAAGUAAUGAAGAAAGUUCAGGAAGAAUUAGCUCAAGUUGUGGGCAUGGACAGUUGUGUUGAAGAAUUUCAUUUGCCUAAACUGAAAUAUUUAGAUGCUGUGGUGAAAGAAUCGUUUCGUCUGCAUCCUGCAGUGCCUUUAUUAGUACCACGCAGAGCAAGCGAGAGUGGCAGCAUUGGUGGCUAUACCAUUCCCAAAGAUACAACUCUUAUGUUGAAUGUUUGGGCUAUCCACAGGGACCCUCAACUUUGGGAUAAUCCCUUAGAAUUUCGACCCGAGAGGUUUCUGAAUGUUGGUGUCGAGAGUAAGUUCGAUUACUCAGGUAACAAUUUUCAGUACUUACCUUUUGGUUCUGGUAGAAGAAUGUGUGCUGGGAUUCCUCUAGCUGAGAGGAUGCUGAUGUUUGUUUUGGCUUCGUUAUUGCACUCAUUUGAGUGGGAAUUGCCAGCUGGCACAAAGCUAAAUUUAUCUGAAAAAUUUGGGUUUGUCAUUAAGAAAAAAGAGCCUUUGGUUGCUAUUCCAACACCAAGACUAUCCAAUUCAGAGCUUUACCAUUAAAACAGAAUGAUUGUGAUGAUUUUGUUAGUAUCGGAAGAUUUGUAUGUUAUUUCAAGUUCAAUCGUAAUAAAAUAUUUUAAUAAAAGUCCUCCGUUGCUAAUUUUUUUUUUCAACGGCAUAAUCUGUCAUCAUGCUUGUGUUUGGAGCUACUUUGGAAUGAUUAUUUUUGAAUUACAAUUUAUAAAUAUUUAGGUUUUAAAUUUUUUAUAAGAGUCUAAAUUUAUACACGUUCAGUAAAAGAUUCCCUAAAAGCUUUACAAUUCAAAAUUCUAUUAAAAGUAUAGAUGAAACUUUUAUACCUACUAAUUUUUUGGUCUAUUCUACAAGUUUAAAGAGGAGAUAUUUCUAGAGCUAGCAAAAAGAGCUACCUGAUUGUUUUCGCGUUAUGUCAAUUUUUUUAUUGUGUUAAAUUUAAUUUGACCCACAUAUGACCCAUUUAAUAAUCGUGUCAAAAUAUUGAAACUUGAACUUGAUACGGAAAAUAAAUGGAUGACCACACACACCCAUUUAAGAAUUAGGUAACUAUGUCACUUAAUACGACAUAACCCAAUAACUCGUUUAAUACAUAUUUAACAUAAUUUACAUUGUACAUUGUACACCCUUUUGUCAUAAAUUACACUAUUUUAUAUUUCUAAAUAAUAUUAUAUAUUGAUAUUAUAAAAAAAUAUCAAUAAUCUCAAAAUUUGUACACCUCCUAACUUUUAAAAAGAAAUAAAAAAACUAAUUAAUUAAUGUUUAUUUUAUUCAUUAAUAUAUCAUAAUCCUACAUGUAUUUUAUUUGUUAUUUUUUUUAUUUAAAAAGAUAGGAGGGUGGAUGAAACUCAAAUAAAUUUUUAGCCUAUCCUGAUCUUUCAAGUUUCUUAUUUAGGAGGCCAGUUAAAAAAAAUUACUUAGAAAGCUACUCCAUCAAUUUAACAAAUUUUAUUUAUUUAAUUAAUGGAGGUGUAGAAAAUAAAAGUAUCUGCAAGCACAUUGCAAUAGUGAAAGCAAUGUACCGGUGUUGCAACAUAACUGAAUCUUGAUAACCUAUCACAUAUUUUAAGUUUUAAUAUUGGUAGUUCACGGAUCGGUUUCUACUUCCACGAACAAUUAUUGAAGGAAAUGAGUUUUUUUUUUAAUGAAUAUUUAUAGACCCCGAUUAAAUAUUCGAAUAUAUAAUAAAAGAGAAACUGACAUAGAAAUGAGAAAGAUAUUUGGAGGAGGCCAAAAAAAAAAAAAAAAAUGCAACAGAGAAUUAGAUCAGCAACACAAGUAACUAAUUAAUUCAUCUAUACAUCAUAAUCCUAUUUGUAUCUUCUUCCUUCUACUAAUUUACAUAUAAAUUUGGUUAGAUAAAACAUAUUUUAAUACUCGGUCACAAGCGGUGGAUAUAGAAAAUUAAUUUAGAGGGGGUAAUACCAUAACGAAAAAUAAUGAUUCAUAACUAAAAUCAACCCCAACAUCAAAACUUAUUUACAAGAUUACGCCCAGUCAAAGGUAAUUUUUCCUAAAAACUAAUACGAAAUUAAAUAAAUUUAACUUUUAGUGGGUUCAAGUGCCCACGCAUUCUGAACGUAGAUCCACCCCUGGCCCCGACUGAAGCAUUUUUUACAAUAUGUACUCAGUUUAUCAACAGGAACAACCUUCCACUUUAAAUUAAAAUUUUCACUUAAAAAUGAUUAAUGUUAAUGAGGUUAGCAACAAAAAUGAGUUUAAUUAGAGAAUAUUAUAAGAGAAAUUAUAUUUUUUGACUUUUAAUAAAUUAAAAUAUUAUUAGUUGGUGGUGGUUUCACGUCAGAUUAAGACGUGACACUUUACUUAUGAGGUCGAGACAAUCGACUUAAACUAUUUCAAUGCAUUUGAAAUUUGCACUAAUGGCUAUCAUUCUUUGUCCAAAUUAAUACGAUAAUUAAUAACAUACAAUUGAAAUAAUUAAUACUAGCACUUGGCAAUAAAUAAAGCUCUUGUGCUUGAAUCGUCACACAUGAUCACUUCAUUCCUUUAUUUACUUUGCUACCACAAAUUUUGAGGCAUUAUAACUAAAUAAUAAUUGAAUAGGGCUUUGUGUUACUUGUUGUGCGCGCGGAAUGCGGAAUCAAGCACACCAAAUUAUUACAGAAAAAUAAAGGACACAAUUAUUUGACGUGGUUCGGUAAUUAAACUUACAUCCACGGAGGCAAGAAAGAAUAAUUGUUUAUUUAACAAUUAAUAGAGUACAAAUAUUUGAGUAACGAAUCUCACUUCUCAGAAACCUAAAUAUACCCAAUACUCUCACACUCUGCAGGAAAGAUAAAUUAUCCAAACACACUUCUCUCACUUCUCUAAAAAACUUAAAAAUUUAAAAACUUAACAAUUUUGGAAUGCUUUAGAAUAGAAGAAGUGCCAUCUUAUAGGAAAAAUAAUGAUACUAUUGCACCAACCUCUUUACUAUUCCACCUAACAUAAGCAAAUUGUCAAUAGUGUCCAUUUAACUUUUUAUUUUUUUUCUUCAAUUGUUUAGUAGCCCUUUAAAAAUCUGCGUGGUUUCUUGAAAUUUAGAUGCCACAUGCAUGACUUUUCAACACUAAUUACUACGAUAAUUAAUAUUAGCACUUGGCAAUAAAUAAAGCUCUUGUGCUUGAAUCGUCACACACGAUCACUUCAUUCCUUUAUUUGCUUUGCUACCACAGAUUUUGAGGCAUUAAAACUAAAUAAUAAUUGAAUAUGGCUUUGUGCGUCGAUGACGCCAGCAACAAGGGGACCACAAUUAUCACUUUUUAAGUUGCUUUUAAAAUUGAUUUUAAUAGUGAUUUGAUUAUUGUAGUGUUUUUAUUUUUAUAUUAAAAUUAAGUCGAUUUGUUAUAAUAAACUUAGUUGAGUUUAAUGGUAUUACUACAUAAAUUGAAUAGUCAUCAAAUAUUUUAAUGUUUUUAUGGCAAGUGUUGACGUGGCAUUUAUUUGUUGUAUGAUGGAUUUUAAAAUUUAUAAAAUUAUUUGUUAUUAAAUUACCCCCAGAUGCUGCAUCACCUGAAACUUAAUAAAGGGCAUGUAGCAUUGCCAUUACUCAACAUUCACUCUUAUGACUUUAUGACAUUAGAAUUAAAAUCUUUCGUACAUUUAAUUUGUUUGCUUCCAGAUUAAUCUUUAAAAAUAUUUUUUUCACAUUAUCAUGAAUGGACAAAACUCCAACGAAAAUAACUACGCAAGAGCAAUCUAUGCUAGUAUUAUAUGCCACGAUAUCUAUAACUUUGUCAGGUCUCAGGAUCGAUCAUUCUAAUUUUUACGCAGAACUUUUAAUCAAUGGACAAACACCUCACCGAGCUUGUCGGCAGCAUUACUACGAUGUAAAAUUGUACCGGAAUAUCUUGAAGUAUUAGUAGAAUAAUGAAGACUAUUUGGAGCAAUAAAAACAAAUAACGCAGAUAAAAAAAAUGGCUAAAAUUAUGUAAGUGAGCCCCAAAGUUUUUGCUAUUUCCAGGAAAUCCCAAAUUUGAAUGGACUAGAGGGAGGCACGUAAGAAAUACAUUUUCUUCCUAGACAAUGACAGCUAUGACAUCAAGCCACGUAUUGAAAUUAAGGUGUAAUUAUUCAGCCAAUGAGCCUUACACACCAAGAUGUAUAAAAGUCAAGAAAAUGAAAUUUUAUCCCAAUUAAAACACUUUCUGGCUGCAAUUGGCUGUUUCCAUUUGAAGUUAAAAAACAACAACGUUUCUUUCGUUUUGUGGGCGAUUCGAUUGAGCACGCGCCACGAGCUAGCUGGCUUCCAGUGCUUGCGUGUGACAAUAGAAGGCUAGUGAUUUCACUUUCGCUUUUUUUUUUUUUUCUUUUUUUUGGGGAAUCAAGAUAAAAGCCAAGAAAAUGAAAAUUGGGCUGUUUCCAUUUGAAGUUAAAAACAGUGUUUCUUUCGGGGCGUCAAUUUGAUAUUUGAAUGGACAGGCAAGUAAGAAAUACAAUUCCUUCAUAGACAAUGACAACGAGGACAUCAAGGCACAUCAUUAUAGUUUGUAGCCCAUCUACAUUUAAACGAUUAAUAAACAAGCUUAGGUGUGCCACUGCUAUUAUUAAUUAUCCCCUGAUCAUUAUAGUUUCUGAAACAGUAAAACAAAACGAAAUUGAAUACAUCAACGAGAUCGCAAUUAUCACUUGUUUAGUUGCGGUAUUUAACUUAAUUUUAAUCUAAUAUAUUUGUUAGUUAAACUUUUAAUAAUCAAAUAAUUUUGACUUAAAAAUAAAAUUAUAGAAAUUAUUAAUUAUUAAAAAUUCACACAUAGCUAUUGUUUUCUCUAUAUAUUGCAGUGUGUACGAUAUUGAGGGUUGAAGCCCAAAGCAUGCCCUAAAAUCCAGAUAAUAAUUAGAUCCGGGCCAAAUAUUCAUCAUUGUGUCGGCUGAUCAGUCGGUGGACAUCUCUAUUGAAAAAAUCUCUGACAUUUCUCUCGACAAACUUAUUACUAAAAAAAAAUCAGUGGUUUUGCCGUCUGAAUAAUGUAGAAAAAUUUGUCUGUGCAUUAAUCUAGAUGUUUGAGGUGAUUUAUACAUCUGUGAUAAAGAUUUAUAGGUUGACUUAUACGUCUGUGGUAUAGAUUUUAUGUAUUUCAUUACAAAAUGCUGGCCGUUAGAACCCUUUCUACAUCUAUUUAUAAGAUUAACGGGUGCCAGUUAUGCCAUUACAAAUUAUCCCCUCAUCAGAUAUUUCGUUAAAAUUCAUUCUGAAACACUAAAACUAAAUAAUCGAACAUGGCUUUGCGGGUCGAUGAUGCCAGAAGCAAUUCGACUGCAAUUAUCACUUGUUUAGUUUCUGUGCUUGCCGUGGUUUACUUGGCAUGGAAUGUGAAAAAAUCAAGGAAAGCAAAUGCUAAACUGCCACCAGGACCUCCCGGCUUGCCUGUAGUCGGAUACCUCCCAUUUCUCGGAACUACUGACUUGCACAAGAAAUUCACGGAAUUAUCCGGAGUUUACGGUCCGAUCUUCAAGCUCUGGCUCGGAAAUAAAUUAUGUGUAGUGGUGAGCUCACCUUCCCUAAUUAGACAAGUGGUUCGUGAUCAAGAUACAACAUUCGCGAACCGUGACCCACCGAAGGCUGCACUAGUGGUCUCCUAUGGUGGCAAUGAUAUUGCAUGGUCCAAUUACGGUCCCGAAUGGAGAAAGUUGCGCAAAUUUUUUGUGGGCAAGAUGAUGAGUAACGCAAGCCUUGAUGCUUGUUAUGCUCUAAGAAAACAAGAGGUUAAAAAUACUAUCAGGGAUUUGUAUAACAACGACAACAAAAUUGGCAAGCCCAUUGACAUUGGUGAAUUGUCGUUUUCAACAUUGGUAUGUGCUAUACAGAACAUGCUGUGGGGUGAAGCGCUUGAAAUAAGAGAGAAAGGGACCACUAAUCUUGGGGCUGGGCUAAAAUUUAAGCUGGCAGAACUCAUGGUGCUUGCGGGAACACCGAAUAUUUCGGAUGUCUUUCCAAUGCUUUCAUGGCUUGACAUACAAGGUAUAGAGAGGAGAGCAAAGAAGAUUUCACUCUGGCUUGAAAAUGUUAUAAAUUCUACUGUUGAACAGCAUAGAAACAAGGAGUCAACUGUUGAAGGUGAAGAAAGAGCGGGGAAAAAUUUUGAAGGAUCAAGGAACAAGAACUUCUUGCAGUUACUAUUGGAGCUUCAAGAAAAUGAUGACAGUGCUUCCUCAAUUAGCAUGAACCAAUUCAAGGCCGUACUCAUGGUAUGUUAAGUAACUAGCAACGAACAGUUAUACAAGCACAGUUGUAUAUUUGCAUGAGUGAUAUUUUCAACCUUUUUUUUUAAUUAGAAUUUUAUUGUCACCUUUUGGACAGGAUAUAAUUACGGCUGGAACCGACACCACAGCUACGAUGGUGGAAUGGACAAUGGCAGAGUUGAUGCAGCAUCCACAAGUAAUGAAGAACGUUCAGGAAGAAUUAGCUCAAGUUGUGGGCAUGGACAGUUGUGUUGAAGAAUUUCACCUGUCUAGAUUAAAGUAUUUAGAUGCUGUGGUGAAGGAAACAUUUCGUCUGCAUCCUGCAGUGCCUUUAUUAGUACCACGCAGAGCAAGCGAGAGUGGCAGCAUUGGUGGCUAUACCAUUCCCAAAGAUACAACUCUUAUGUUGAAUGUUUGGGCUAUCCACAGGGACCCUCACCUUUGGGAUAAUCCCUUAGAAUUUCGACCCGAGAGGUUUCUGAAUGUUGGUGUCGAGAGUAAGUUCGAUUACUCAGGUAACAAUUUUCAGUACUUGCCAUUUGGUUCUGGUAGAAGAAUGUGUGCUGGGAUUCCUCUAGCUGAGAGGAUGCUGAUGUUUGUUUUGGCUUCGUUAUUGCACUCAUUUGAGUGGGAAUUGCCAGCUGGCACAAAGCUAAACUUAUCUGAAAAAUUUGGGAUUGUCAUUAAGAAAAAAGAGCCUUUGGUUGCUAUUCCAACACCAAGACUAUCCAAUUCAGAGCUCUACCAUUAAGACAAAAUGGUUGUGAUGAUUUUGUUAAUUUUCCGAAGAUUUGUAUGUUAUUUAGUUCAAUCGUAAUAAAAUAUUUCAAAUAAGAGUCCUCCGUUGCUUUUUUUUUUUUUUUUUUUUCAACGGCAUAAUCUGUCGUCAUGCUUGUAUUUGGAGCUACUUUGGAAUAAUUAUGUUUGAAUUACAAUUUAUAAAUAUUUACGUUUUAAAUUUUUUAUAAGAGUCUAAAUUUAUACACGUUUAAUAUCCCGCUUCAUAGAUAUUUAACACAAUUUAUAUCAUACAUUGUAUACCCAUUUGUCAUAAAUUAUACUAUUUUGUAUCUCUAAAUAAUAUUACGUAUUGAUAUUAUAAUAUAUAUAUAUAUGUUUAUCAAAAGACUAUACCAUUCAAUAUAUAUUGAAAAGAGAACAAAGAAGAUUUUCUUAUGGUUUAAAAAUAUUAUGAAUUCUGCUGUUGAACAGUAUGGAAACAAGGUCUCUGUUGUUAAAGGUGAAGAAGCAACAGGGAACAAUAUUGAAGGAAGAAAUUUCACAUGUUUAGUUGCUGAAUUUGCCGCUGUAUUCUAUCGGUAGUAGAGUUUUUAUUUUUCUCUAUUAAUUUAAGUCAAUUUUCUAUAACAAAUUCGGUUGAGUUUAAUUGUGUUAUAAUAUAAAUUGAAUGAUAAUAGAAUUUUCAACAAAUAUUUCAAUAUUUCUAUCUCGAUUGUUGAAGUGCCAUUUAUUUGUUAUGCGAUCGAUUUUAAAAUUUAUAAAAUUAUUUGUUACUAAAUUGCAUCAUAUGCUAAAAUCACCUGAAACCUAAUUCCAUAACUAACCCUUUAUUUUUAGUUCUCAAGAAAUCUUGUAAGAACAAAAAUCUUUUAUAACAAAACUUUUACAACACAUUAAUUUGUAACUCAUUCCUGUGCGCGAAUCACUCUCAAUUUCCUUCAAUUGCUGUUUAACAAUCAUCUACUUAUCAAAAUUCAAGCAUAAUCUUUUUUUUUUAAUUUCUUCAUCAUUCUUUAAAAAAAAAAUCAGGAUAUGCUGUUAAAUUUUGAAAUAAAUAAAUUAACCAAAGUUGGUUGAUGUGAGUGGUUCAAUGAUGAGCAUAAUUUAUAUACAUAUUUUACCUUUAAUUAUAUAAUUAUUAGUUAUUUUUAUUAGUUAUUUUUAAUUAAUUGAAUUAUUUUAUUGCAUAGAGAAUUAAUUGGAGAUUGGGAAACAAAAAGUGCAUAAAGAAUAACAAGUUUGGGAAAGCAUCAAUCAAAGCCGUGACGCAAUUAAGAGUUUAUAGCAUAUGAAGCCAAGAGUAAUUUGCACUCAAAAAGAAUUUCAAUUAUUCAAGUGACCUGGACCUGCAUGGCAUUGUAAUGCAUGGAAAGCAACUUAAAGGGGCCCACACUUGGCUUUUACAAUUGGAAAAAGGAAUCCUAGUGCAAGCUUAAUUGAUGAGCACGUGAGUGAGAGCAAAGAAAAUUAAAAGGCCAAGCCUUUUGGCUUAAGGAAAUAACAAGGUCGGUGGGGCCCAUUUUAAAGAGUAAUAUAAAAGCAAGCUUUUGGCUUUUGGAGAGAGGAGCCGCGAGAGGAGGAAAACGCAAGACAAAGAGAAGAAAAUCUGCAGCAGUUCGGCUUCUAUGGUUGGUUUUAUCUCUUUUGUUACUCUUAAUUCAAAUAUGUCUAGUUAAUUUUCUUAUAUUAAAGUUAAGGAUGAAACCCUAUUCAAUGAAAUAAUUAUCUUUUUAUUUAUUUAAUUCCCAUAUAUGUUCUUUAAUGAUUAUGAUUUUUAUUUCACAUGAUUAAUUGGAUGUUAUUAAAAUUUUUUCAUCAAUUCUGUCAUGCAUUAUUGAUUGUUAGGAUUAAUAUUCAAUUAAAUCUAUACUUAGAUUUAUAACGUUUAUACAUGAUUAUCUUUGAUUCUAUGUCUUUCAUUAAAUUGUUUACAUGGAGUGCUUAGGAAAACUUUGACUCUUUGUUAUUCAAUAUGUUCACAUGGGAUACUUAGAUGUCAUACUAUUAAGCGGAAAAAGAACCUAUAUUAGAUUUAAUUAUUUGGGCUUAAUUGUUAUAUCCAUGAGAUGACACAAAUUGAUUUCGAGUUGUCACUCUAAAAUUAGAGAUUAAUGAAUAUUUAGAUAAUUACUAGUUGAAUAGCGGUGGAUUCUGAAACCUUGGUAAUUUCUAUCUUAUUGAAUUCUCCUUUACUUUAAUUGUUUUCUUAGUUUAAUUAAUUUAAUUUCUUUUAAAACUCAAUUUGCUUAACUAGGUUAGAAUUAAUAUUAAUUUUAGAUUUAAAUUAGACUUUUCAAUUUAUAACAAUCCAUGUGGGAUCGACCUCGUUACCACUACUUUAUUUCUAGAUUCGUGCACUUGCGAGUAUAUUAAAAUUUUCACAACAAGUUUUUGGCGCCGUUGCCGGGGAUUGUGCCAGAAAGUCAGUUUAAUCUAGGUUGAUUUGAUUCUUCCACUAGUUAUAAUUUAUGUUGUCUUUUAUUUUAUUAUUAUUUUUAAUUAACAAAAACACACAAAAAAACUUUUAUUUUUCUUUAAAUUCAUUGUUUGGUUGUUUGAUUUCUUUUAUUUUUUAAAUUUUGUUUAUUCUCAUUAUUGUUGGUUUAUUUUAUUUUAUUUUUUUCUUUCCUUGUCUAGUUAGUUUAUGAGUGUUUGGGAAUGUGAUUCAACAAAUCGUUUGGUAAAAGAGAGUCAAAAAUUGAUAGUAGUCAAGUUAGUUCUUCUGAAGUCAUGGAUGACCCAAAUAGAUUAUUGCCAAUACUUCCACCAGUGCAAGCAGAGAAAACCCUUAGAGAAUAUUUUUCACCACUUGCAGCCAACCAACCAUCUUGUAUUGUGUUGCCACAAACUACAGCAACACACUUUGAACUUUUUGAACUUAAGCCCUCAGUCAUCCAACUUUUACCAUCUUUCCAUGGGUUAGAGAGAGAGGAUCCAUAUUUGCACAUUAAGGAAUUUCUUGACAUAUGCUCUACAUUCCGUUUUCAAAAUUUUAAUGAUGAGUUAAUCAGGCUUCGUAUGUUAUCUUUCUCAUUAAAAGACAAAGCAAAAGCUUGGUUGAAUUCGCUUUCUGCUGGGUCUAUAACUACGUGGGAUGAAUUGAAUAAUAAGUUCCUCACCAAGUUUUUCCCUAUGUCUAAAACAAAUGCCCUUAGGAGAGAGAUAAGUGAUUUCUAUUAAAGAGAGGGUGAGCAAUUUUAUGAGUGUUGGGAAAGAUUCAAUGAUUUACUCCUCAAGUGCCCCCACCAUGGUUUUGAGAAAUGGAGACUUAUACAAUGCUUUUAUAACGGUUUAACCAUGUCGAAUCGUCAUAUGGUAGAGUCUAUGAAUGGUGGGAGAUUUUUGAACCUACAUGAAGGGGCUGCAUGGGAUUUCUUUAAUUCACUUUCUGAGAAUUCUCAACAGUGAGAUUUUUCAAGCCAAAGGGAAAAAUCAUCUCAAGUUUCUAGAAAGGGGUUAUAUGAAGUUAAGGAUGAUUUUGAUGUGAAAUCCACUCUAAUUACACUUUCUAGAAAAGUAGAUGCCUUAGCUCUGAACCAAUCAAUGAAUCAUCAUCCUAGUGUAGCUAAUGAGGUUUGUGCUAUUUGUUCUAACUUGUCUCAAACAGCACAAAACUGUCCAUCAUUACCAGUCUAUCCAGAGGCUUAUUCUGAGCAGGUACAUGCCUUACAAUCAUAUGAGAAAACCUCCAAUAAUACAUAUUCACUCACAUAUAAUCCUAAUUGGAGGAAUCACCCUAAUUUUUCUUGGAAACAAAAUCAAUCUUUGUCAAACCAAGGAGGACAACAAUUUAACAUGCCCAAUCAACAAUUUGUCCCUCCUAACCAAGUAUAUCCUCCUGCCCAACAACCUAUAUCUCAAUUUGUUACACCCCAACAAAGAAAACCUUCUUUAGAGGAUACACUUCAAAGUUUCAUUCAGUCAACCUAAUAAGCUUUUCAGUCAAACACUCAAGCUAUUCUAAAGCUUGAACAUCAAUUGGGUCAAUUAGCAACUACUGUAGCGGAGAAAGAAAAAAGAAAAUUCCCCAGUCAAUCAAUUCCUAAUCCUAAAGGAGUGCAUGAAGUUGGAUCGAGUUCAAGCCAUCAGCAUGAAGAAGCAAAAUCAAUUAUGACCUUGAGAAGAGGAAAAUUGUUUGACAACAAAGUGGAGGUUCAAACAAAGAAGACAUCUGAGCCUACUUCUUCAGAUCCAAUUACAUCACAAGAAUCAUCACCAAAUGAUCUUGAAGAGAGUGACCCGCUAGCUUACAUUCCCAAGGCUCAUUUUCCUCAAAGGUUAACAAAGGUAAAGAAAGGGACUUCAACAUGUGAGAUUAUAGAAAUCUUCAAGCAGGUAAGUAUAAACAUCCAUUUACUCGAUGCUAUUAAGCAAGUUCCUUCCUAUGCCAAGUUUUUGAAAGAUUUAUGCACUAAAAAGAGAAAUUUGCAUGUCACUAAAAAGGCGUUUUUAACUGAACAAACUAGCAAUUUACUUCAAUGUAAAAUGCCACCAAAAUUUAAGGAUCCUGGUUCUCCUACUAUUUCAUGUGUUAUAGGGAACCAAUGUUUUGAUAAAGCAUUAUUGGAUUUAGGUGCUAGUGUUAAUCUCUUACCUUAUUCCAUUUACAUGCAGCUUGGACUAGGUGAGUUAAAAUCAACUCCUAUUAUUUUGCAACUUGCUGAUAGGUCAAUGAAAAUACCUCGUGGUAUUAUAGAGGAUGUGUUGAUACAGAUUGACAAAUUUUAUUAUCCUGUUGAUUUUAUUGUUAUUGAUACUCAACAUGUACAUGAUCUUAAGAAACACACUCCACUUAUUCUUGGUCGUCCUUUCUUAGCUACAGCUGAUGCUCAUAUUAGUUGCAGGACUUGAAACAUGCAAUUGUCUUUUGGUAACAUGACCAUGGAAUUAAAUAUUUUUAAUGUUCCCAAGCAGGCACAAGAAGAUGAUGAAGUCGUUGAAGUAGAUAUGAUAGAAGCAUCAAUUGAUGACUCACUUAUUUCUAACCAUUGUGACAAUCCAUUAAUACCUUGCACAACUGACUCUGAUUUCUCUAUUGAUGUUGAUAGUGAUAUUGAAGAAGUUAAUGCUUUACUUGAUUCGACUCUUAUCAUAGAUCUAAUUAAGUGGAAAGAAAAGAUAAGAUUGAGCCACUUCCUCCUGAAGAGAAAAGUGCAACAUAGGUCACAUUCUGACAUAAAAAAGGUGGUAAGAUCUAAAACGCUUAAAUUAUUAGAUUUUUAUACUACUUUAGAUAACUCUCAGGAAAGCUUAGAACAGAAGAGAUCAAAGCAAUGCGAUAUUGAGGAGUUUCAUUACCAUCAUCCUUUUAUGGAUAAAAUGCUCCAGUGCUUAAUCAAUUAUGCUUUUUGGUAUUUUCUAUAUAAUUGCUUUAAUUUUCACCAAAUUCUUAUUGAUCCUGGUUGAUUUGUUGUUUACAUUAAUUAGUUAGUUAGUCGGAUUUUUUUAUUAUUAUUUAUAUUUCUUCUAACGUUUUCUUUUGAGUUGUCAUUCUUUUAAGUUUUCCUAGCUCAGUCAGGUGUGUUCUCUCCAACUUUCUCUUUUAUUAUUUAUGUUUUUAUUUUUCAUCUUUUUGCGUGCAUAUCUUUUAUUUAUGACACAUUGAGGACAAUGUUCCGAAUAAGUUUGGGGGUGGGAAUAAUGUUGCUUUGUUUGUUAAAAAAAACUAAAAAAAAAUUUCAAAAAUUCAAAAAAAAAUUGUGUUUUUUUUGUUUUUACGUGAAAAGCCAAUGAUAAAAACUUGAUUGACAAUGAAUAUGGUUUUUAGAAAGGGUUUAAUAUUGUCUUAAUUUAUACUUGAUUCUUAUGUUAGUUCCUCUUGAUUGAGAUUCUUUAAAAUAUAAGCACUAAUAUCAAUUCUUUCAUAAUUUUGACUUGAAAUUUGAGAUUGACGCAGCCUGAGUUGAGAAUUUUAGAUAGAGUAAAUGACUGUUUGUCUUUAUUCUUAUCUCCACAAUACAAAAUAGUAUACACAGGCACCAAAGUCAGAAAUAACUACCUAUAAUCCUUAAGAGUGAAGCUAUCCUUGAGUAAUUUAGGCCUAUGUACCACAAGUAUGUAGAGGAUAAUCUACCAUGAGAAGAAUGCUACCUUAAGGGGUAGAGUGAAAGCUCCUGACUAUGGUUAAAAAAAAAAGAAGAAGAAAAAGAGAAAGAAAAAAUCAAAUCAAGUGCAUGUGCUGAAAAAAAAAUCAAAAGAAAAUGCACAUAAAAGCCUGUGAAAAAAAAAUUGGAGAUUAAGAUGAUAAGAUUAGCUUGACCUACUCUUUUCUUUUUUUGAGGCGAAGGUUGUUGAUAUUGAAGAUUUUAGGAAUGAAUUUGAUUGAAUUGAUUUCACACACACACAACAAGAAUCGAAAGAGAGAUGGGAUUGAUUAUUGAAUUAAAGUUAGAACUUUGCCAAUAUUUGAAAUUUUGUUUGAGCUAUAUAAUUUAUGCAAUCUUUGAGGGUAUUUUCAUAUUUUAUUUAAAGUUUUUUUUUCUUUUUAUUUUAUUUUAUUUAUUUUUUAUUUUUUUAAAAUGAUGUUUGUGGGUGUCAUCACUGAAGCUCUCACGAGACUAUAACUCGUCCACUAGGGGUUUAAAGGCUUGUUGCAUACGCUAAAUGCAAUCGCGAUUACCUGCGAAAAUGGUUUAGUUAGGAUUUACUUUUUGUUUUGUUAUUUUUUUUUUUUUUUUUAGUUUUAGCUUUGCUCGAGGACUAGCAAAAUCUAAGUUUGGGGGUAUUUGAUGAGCAUAAUUUAUAUACAUAUUUUACCUUUAAUUAUAUAAUUAUUAGUUAUCUUUAUUAGUUAUUUUUAAUUAAUUGAAUUAUUUUAUUGCAUAGGGAAUUAAUUGGAGAUUGGGAAACAAAAAGUGCAUAAAGAAUAACAAGUUUGGGAAAGCAUCAAUCAAAGCCAUGACACAAUUAAGAGUUUAUAGCAUAUGAAGGCAAGAGUAAUUUGCACUAAAAAAGAAUUUCAAUUAUUCAAGUGAUCUGGACGUGCAUAGUAUUGUAAUGCAUGGAAAGCAACUUAAAGGGGCCCACACUUGGCUUUUACAAUUGGAAAAAGGAAUCCUAGUGCAAGCUUAAUUGGUGAGCACGUGAGUGAGAGCAAAGAAAAUUAAAAGGCCAAGCCUUUUGGCUUAAGGAAAUAACAAGGUCGGUGGGGCCCAUUUUAAAGAGUAAUAUAAAAGCAAGCUUUUGGCUUUUGGAGAGAGAAGCCGCCAGAGGAGGAAAACGCGAGACAAAGAGAAGAAAAUAUGCCGCAGUUCGACUUCUAUGGUUGGUUUUAUCUCUUUUGUUACUCUUAAUUCAAGUAUGUCUAGCUAAUUUUCUUAUAUUGAAGUUAAGGAUGAAAUCAUAUUCAAUGAAAUAAUUAUCUUUUUAUUUAUUUAAUUCCCAUAUAUGUUCUUUAAUGAUUAUGAUUUUUAUUUCACAUGAUUAAUUGGAUGUUAUUAAAAUCUUUUCAUCAAUUCUGUCAUAUAUUAUUGAUUGUUAUGAUUAAUAUUAAAUUAAAUCUAUACUUGGAUUUAUAAAGUUUAUACAUGAUUAUCUUUGAUUCUAUGUCUUUCAUUAAAUUGUUUACAUGGAGUGCCUAGGAAAACUUUGACUCUUUGUUAUUCAAUAUGUUCACAUGGGAUACUUAGAUGUCGUACUAUUAAGCGGAAAAAGAACCUAUAUUAGAUUUAAUUAUUUGGGCUUAAUUGUUAUAUCCAUGAGAUGACAUAGAUUGAUUUCGAGUUGUCACUCUAAAAUUGGGGAUUAAUGAAUAUUUAGAUAAUUACUAGUUGAAUAGUGGUGGAUUCUGAAACCUUGGUAAUUUCUAUCUUAUUGAAUUCUCCUUUACUUUAAUUGUUUUCUUAGUUUAAUUAGUUUAAUUUCUCUUAAAACUCAAUUCGCUCAACUAGGUUAGAAUUAAUAUUAAUUUUAGAUUUAAAUUAGACUUUUCAAUUUAUAACAAUCCCUGUGGGAUCGACCUCGUUACCACUACUCUAUUUCUAGAUUCGUGCGCUUGCGAGUAUAUUAAAAUUUUCACAACAUUCGGCACUCUCACUCCUUAAGAGAGGUCAGGGGUUCAAGCCUCGCUCUCGUAUGGAGUCACCACUUUGACCAGCACUUUACCCCUUACAGACCGACCCGGUGCGAGCAUGAAUUAGUCUGGGUUGUGGUACGGGCUUAAAGGUGCCUCCCACAAUUGAGACCCACUCAGGACCACCUCGUGGUUCGGACAAAAAAAAAAUUGAAAUAAAUUAUCUCAAAAUAAUUACUAACCAGAAAAAACAAAGGGGUUUAACUAGGUUAUGCAUACCUUUGAAAAUUAUAUGUUGAUCGAUAAGCAUGAUGAUCACGAUUGAGGAGUUUAAUUAAAAUUUAUAAGAUUUUAAAAUUAAUCAGGGUUAAAUUCUAAAUUUUAGAAAGAGAGGUUUUGUGAGAAUGCUGAAAGGGUGUUAAUAGUUCCACUCUUUUUUAAAAAAACCAUAGUCAUCAUUUUUCCCGAUUUCUUCUUCCCAUCUCCAUCUUAUUUAGAAAUUUCCCAGAGCCUUUGUUUCCCACCAUUCAUUUUUCUUCUUUCUAAUUUAAGAUUAUAGUAUUAUAAAAAUAAUUACUCACAUUUUAUCAAACACCUCCAUUAUACCAAGGCCUUGUUUUAGUAGUAGGCUUUUAUUAUCUCAAUAAAAUUGAAAAAACAAAGCUCAAUAAUAUUGGAAAAAAAACCUACCCAUAUUUGUAACUUUAAUUUAUUAUUCUCCAUAGACCUACUUUUUAGCUUUGAAUUUUGUUGGAGCCAUAUAUAAACAGAAUAUGUUGAAAUCAGCACAAAAAAAAAACUAAUUAUAUAAUUUUUGUUCCCAAGGACACGACUGUGUGAUUUUUAAGAAGUUUUGUUUGGCUGGCCACUUAGGUUUAAAUCUUGGUGGAGAUUAGGGGUUAAGAAAUAAAUUUGGACUUUGCACACCCCUUUAACUUUUAAAAAGAAUGAAAAAAACUAAUUAAUUAAUCUUUAUUUUAUUUAUUAAAUGUCAUAAUCAUAUGCAUAUUUUAUUUGUUAUCUUUCUAUUUAAAAGAUAGGAGGGCAAAUAAAACUGAAAUAAAUGUUUAUCCCUAUCUCCAUCUUUCAAGUUCCAUAGUUAGGUGACCAGCUAAAGAAAAUUAAUUGAAAGUUACUCCAUCAAAUUAAAAAAAAUUAUUUAUUUAAUUUGUGGAGAUGUAGAAAAUCAAACCCCAUACCUUUUCGCAUGCAAAAGUGUCAACCUGGUCUAGCUAUGUUGCAACAGUAAACAUAUUUUAAUACAUGACUAUCAUCUUUUAUCCUAAAUACUACUAUAACUAUGGGUUCAGUUAUGCUGUAACUGUGGUAUGGUACCACAGUUGUUUUCAACCAUUAAAUUCAACUUAUAUAACUAUGCAACUGUAGAUCUAACGGCUGAAAGCAACUAUGGUACCAUACCACAGUUGCAACAUAGUUUUGCCCCUAUAACUCAUAACAUUCAAUUGAAAUAAUAAAUGUUAACACUUGGCUAUAAAUAAAGGUUUUGUACUUGAAUCUUCAUGCAUGACCUUCAUUCCUUUAUUGACUUUGCUAACACAGAUUUUGAGGCAUUAAAACUAAAUAAUAAUUGACUUUGUGGGCCGAGGAUGCCAGCAACAAGGAGACCACAAUUAUCACUAGUUAAGUUACUCUAAUUGCCGUUGUCUUAUAUUCAUAAAAUAUUAGUAAUAAGAUUAUUGUAGAAUUUUUUUAUAUUAAAAUUAAGUCAAUUUGUUAUAACAAAUUUAGUUGAGUUUAAUCGUGUUACUACAUACAUUGAAUAAUAAUAGAAUUCUCGACAAAUAUUUCAAUAUUUUUAUCCCAAGCGUUGGAGUGGCAUUUAUUUGUUAGACAAUCGAUUUUAGAACUUAUAAAAUUAUUCGUUACUGAAUUGCACCAUAUGCUGCAUGACCUGAAACUUAAUAAACGGAACGUAGCGUUGGCAACAUUCACUGUCAUGACUUUGUGACAUUAGAAUUAAAUUUUUUUGCACAUUUAAUUUGUUUACUUCCAAAUUAAUAUUUAACAAAAUAUUUUUUCACAUUAUCAAUGGACAAAACUCCAACGAAAAUAACUAUACAAUAUAUGCUAGUAUUGUAUGCCAUAUCAUCUGUAAUUUUGUCAGGAUCGAUCAUUUUAAUUUUUAAGCAAAACUUUUUAUCAAUGGACAAACACCUCACACAGCUUGUCAGAGGCAUUAUUAUGAUGGAAAACUGAUAAACAGUGAACUCGAAACUCAAUUACUACAAGUCGUUUAGAGGAUUCAGUCUUGGAUGACUUGUCACUUGUGGAAUUCUUGAAGCCAGAACCGACAUAAUCUCAGUCGUCAUUCUGUCUUAAGUAAUACACAUGGUUUGCAUGUGUGUUGAAGCUGACUCUUUGCUUGGAUCAAGAAACGACGUCUUUGAGUGCCGUUUCUUAAACACACUUUAAAUCAGCUUGUGUCAAGCACGUGAGGUAGAGCUUUUUGAAUAGAUUUGGCGGGAAUGGUAGUUAGUGUAACAACCCAGAAAUAGAGGUUAAAAGGUGAAGGCUUUGUCAUCAUCUACACAUGAUUUGGGAAACAUUGAGAGUAGAGAAAAAGAUAGAGAGAGAAAGGGGUUAACAAGUUCUUGUUCUCUGUAAAUCGAUUUAUAUUCUUGUAAAGUUUGUGAUCUCAAUUAGUGAAAGACUGUUGCUUUGUUUCCAGUGGAUGUAGGCACCACUUCUUGGUGCUGAACCACUUAUACUUGGUGUCAUAUUGUUUCUUUAAUGCUUUGAUUCUUGCGUGUGAUUGUUGCUGGAUAAUCUGUGCUGUUAAUUCUCAAACCAUUGAUACAGAAUUAAUGUCUUGGGGAGAAUUUGGUUAGUCUUAUCAAAGCCGAAUUCACAACAAAUUGGUAUCAGAGCCCUCUUUUCUGUAUCAAGGUUCAAGAAAUGACUAACAAGGUGGAUCUUGAGAAGUUCAAUGGUCAGAAUGAUUUCAAUAUGUGGAGGAUCAAGAUGGAAGCAUUGUUAAUCACACAAGGUCUGGGAGAUGCCAUUGAUCCAGUCAUUAAGAGUGAAAAUGCAGAAGCCUAUUCUUCAAGAACUCCAGAACAGAUGGCUAAGAUUGAAAAAAAGGCAAGAAGCACCAUCAUCCUCAGUCUUGGUGACUUAGUGAUAAGGGAAGUUGCCAAGAAAAAGACUGUUGCUAGGCUCUGGGCAAAACUGGAACAAUUGUAUAUGACAAAGUCCUUAGCAAACAGGCUAUACAUCAAGAAAAAGAUGUUCUCACUGAGGAUGAUUGAAGGAGCAUCACUUGAUGAACACAUAGAUGAGUUUAAUAAAGUUUGUGAUGAACUGGAAACAAUUGAUGAAGGACUGAGUGAUGAGAGCAAGGCUUUGCUGUUAAUCAGUUCUUCACCAAAAUCAUAUGAACAUUUUGUGGAUGCCUUGUUAUAUGGAAGGCAAUCACUCUCCUUGGAAGAGGUUAAAUCUACUCUUGGUACCAAGAAGUUAAAAGAAAAACAAGAUAACUCAGAGAGUGAAUCAAGUGAAGGGCUGAUGGCAAGGGGCAGAUCUGAAAAAAAGGAGUACAAAGGAAAAAAACAAGGGAGAUCAAAGUCAAAGCAGAAACAUUUGAAGUGUUUUCACUGCCACAAAGAAGGGCAUUUCAAGAGGGAUUGCCCUGAGAGAAAAACAAAGCAAAAGGAAUCAAAAGACAAAUCUGGAAAUACAGCAAUAGCCACAGAAGAAACCAGUUUUGAGAUAGCUGAAGUCCUCAUUGCCACAAAAGAAAAAAACUCAAGGUCAGUGGGUACUAGACUCUGGAUGUACUUUUCAUAUGAGUCCAAAUAGAAAUUACUUUACUACAUAUCAGUCCUGUGAUGGGGGUAUGGUGCUGAUGGGAAAUAAUUCAGUUUGUAAAGCAGUUGGGAUUGGGACUGUAAGCCUUAAGAUGUAUGAUGGCAUGGUUAGAGAACUAACUCAGUUUAGGCAUGUUCCUGAGCUUAAAAGGAACCUAAUAUCUAUUGGCAUGCUUGAUCAAACUGGAUGUGUCAAUAAGGCUGAAAAUGGGUCAUUGAAAGUUAUCAGAGGCUCAAUAGUCAUAAUGAAAAGUUCCAAGCAAAAUGGUUUGUAUGUGUUGAAUGGACAUACAACUGUUGGAGAGGCAAGUGUCACUGAGAAGAGUGAAGACAAAGCAAGACUAUGGCACUUGAGGUUGGGGCAUAUGAGUGAAAGGGGAUUGAAGGAGCUUCAAAAGAAUGGGGUGUUUGGAAGUGACAAGCUAAGUUCUUUGGGGUUCUGUGAAGACUGUAUCCUAGGGAAGGCUUCCAAUCUCAAGUUUGAAUCUGCAGUUCAUUCUACCAAAGAGAAGCUUGCAUAUAUACACUCUGAUAUGUGGGGGCCUGCACAGGUAAAUUCUCUUGGUGGCUUUAAGUAUUUCUUAUCCUUAAUAGAUGACUAUUCAAGGAUGGUUUGGGUGUAUGUACUCAAAACCAAAGAUGAAGCUUUGGAAAAGUUUUAGAGGUGGAAAAUUCUGGUAGAAACACAGACAAGUUUGAAAGUAAAAGCUCUAAGAACAGAUAAUGAAUUGGAAUUCUGCAACAAAGAGUUUGGAGACUUUUGUAAAAGACAUGAGAUUAUGAGGCACAAAACAGUCAUACACACACCUCAGCAAAAUGGUUUUGCUGAGAGAAUGAACAGAACCUUAAUGGACAAGGUGAGGUGUAUACUGCUAUACUCAAAGCUGCCUAAGUCACUCUGGGCAGAGGCCUUAAACACAGCAUGUUACUUGGUAAAUAUAAGUCCAUCUACAGCAAUAGAAUGCAAAACACCUAUCGAGCUAUGGUCUGGAAGGGUUGCAGAUUACUUUAAACUGAGAAUCUUUGGAUGUGUUGCUUAUGCAUAUGUCAAACAAGGCAAAUUGGAGCCAAGAGCUUUAAGGUGUAGAUUUCUAGGAUACCCUGAUGGAGUUAAAGGCUAUAGGCUAUGGUGCAUUGAUUUGAAGCCACCAAAAUGCAUUAUCAGCAGGGAUGUAACUUUCAAUGAGUCAGAAAUCUUGAACAAAUCCAAAACCACUUAAUCCAAAGAUCAUAUAUCAGAAACAAGACCUGGGAGUGUUCAGUUUGAGGUGGAGUCCUAUGAACAAGAUAGGACUGAAUCAGAAACUGAAGGAGAUUCAGGAAGGGUUACUGAUGGAUUUGAUGUUGUUCAGGAGUCAGAGCCAGCUGAGAAUGAAGAUAAUUCUUAUCAGUUGGUCAGGGAUAGAAAGAAGAGAGCUGUAAGACCACCUAAGAGGUAUACAAUAGCAGAUUUCAUAGCUUAUACAUUAACAGUUGCACAAGAGGUAAAUGAGGAAGAGCUAAGAACCUAUAAAGAAGCUAUAAACAGCAUGGAUAAGAUGAAAUGGAAGGAGGCUAUGGAUGAGGAAAUUGAAUCACUAAUGAAAAAUGGAACUUGGAAGCUGAUAGUUAGACUAGAAAAAAGGAAGACUGUUAGCUGCAAAUGGAUCUUCAAAGUUAAGGAAGGUAUAUCUGAUGCUGAACCUAGUAGGUUUAAAGCUAGGCUGGUAGCAAGAGGCUUCACACAAAGAGAGGGGAUUGAUUUCCAUGAAAUCUUCUCUCUAGUUGUGAAACAUGCCUCCAUCAGAGUCAUCUUAGCUUUAGUUGCCAUUCAAGACAUGUACCUGGAGCAUAUGGAUGUUAAAACAGCCUUCCUGCAUGGUGAAUUACAAGAAGAAAUUGUAAUGGAACAGCCUGGGGGGUAUGUGGUGUCUAGUAAGGAAAAUCAUGUGUGCUUACUAAAGAAAUAUUUAUAUGGAUUAAAGCAGUCUCCUAGGCAAUGGUACUUGAAGUUUGAUAGUUUUAUGACAAAACAUGCCUACAAGAAAUGCAAUUAUGAUUGUUGCGUGUACUUUAGGGACAUUGGUGAUGGAAAGAUGAUUUAUCUUAUGCUGUAUAUGGAUGACAUGCUUAUAGCAUGUCACAGCAUAGAUGAAAUCAGUCAUUUAAAGAAUCUCUUGAGCAGUGAAUUCGAUAUGAAAGAUCUUGGAGCUGUAAGGAAGAUCUUAGGUAUGGAAAUUAUCAGAGACAGGAGAAGGAAGCUUAUGUUUUUAACCCAACAGAGCUAUGUUAAGAAGGUGUUGCUUAGAUUUGGGAUGCAUGAAUCCAAGUCUGUUCAAACACCUUUGGCAAAUCACUUCAAGCUGUCUGCUGCACAUUGUCCACAAACUGAUGCAGAGCAAGGAAAAAUGGCAAGGAUACCUUACUCCAGUGCAGUUGGGAGCCUCAUGUAUGCCAUGGUUCUCACUAGACAUGAUAUCUCACAUGCUGUGAGUAUAGUGAGUAGAUUCAUGGCAAAUCCAGGUUAUGAGCAUUGGAGGGCAGUCCAGUGGAUAAUGAGGUACCUGAAAGGCACUAUGGAGUUUGGUCUGCUAUAUGGAGGGUUAAAACAGGAAGGGCACAAGCUGGUGGGGUAUGUUGACUCAGACUUCGCUGGAGAUCUUGAUAAAAGGAGGUCUCAGACAUGUUUUAUAUUCACUUUGGGAGGCUGCACUGUGAACUGGAAAGCUACUCUGCAAAGUGUGGUAGCUUUGUCCACAACUGAAGCCGAAUAUACAGCAGCUGCAGAAGCUUUUAAGGAAGUCAUCUGGUUAAAAGGAAUGGUCUCAGAGUUAGGAGCAAAACAAGAAACAGUUGAAGUAUACUGUGAUAGCCAGAGUGCAAUACAUUUGAGUAAAAACCAGACCCAUCAUGAAGGAACAAAACAUAUUGAUGUAAAGCUUCAUUUUGUAAGACUUGAAGUUUCAAAGGGAACUGUGAAGAUGCUCGAGGUUCACACUGAUCAAAAUCCAACCGAUAUGUUGACUAAAGCUGUGCCUUCUGCCAAGCUCAACUUCUGUUUGAGCUUAGCAGGAAUUUGCAGUUUCUGAUCAGCUGCAAAAGAAAGGGAAUAAAGUAUACAGGAGUAGCUAGAGUUCAGAGUUCACACUGAUUAAAAGGUGCAGGCUUUGUCAUCGUCUACACAUGAUUUGGGAAACACAGAGAGUAGAGAAAAAGAUAGAGAGAGAAAGGGGUUAACAAGUUCUUGUUCUCUGUAAAUCGAUUUCUAUUCUUGUAAAGUUUGUGAUCUCAAUUAGUGAAAGAUUGUUGCUUUGUUUCCAGUGGAUGUAGGCACCACUUCUUGGUGCUGAACCACUUAUGCUUGGUGUCAUAUUGUUUCUUUAAUGCUUUGAUUCUUGCGUGUGAUUGUUGCUGGAUAAUCUGUGCUGUUAAUUCUCAAACCAUUGAUACAGAAUUAAUGUCUUGGGGAGAAUUUGGUUAGUCUUAUCAAAGCCGAAUUCACAACAAAAACUGUAAUGGUAUAUCUUGAAUUAUUGGUAGAAUAGUUCUUUGGAGCAAUAAAAACAGAUAAGACAGAUGAGAAAAUUGUCAAUACCCCACCGCAAAAGCAAAAGAAAACAAGGAAAGGAGACAAAAGAGGAAGAAGAAAAAGAAAAAAGAACGAAGAAAAAAAUGGUGCCGUGCGGUAUAGGCAAGAAGAAAAAAUAAUAAAAAAUAAUAAAAUAAUAGUGCACAACAAUCAUUUGAUUGCUAUAAAUAAAAGGCGUUUCCCUCAUUUUAUUCAUCGAAUUCUUCAGUUCCUUUCAAGCGAUUUAAGAGUCUAGUGAUUUGAGAGUUUGGGUGUAGUAUGAUUUUGGGUAGUGAGCUAAAAUACUACAAUACUUGUAACUCAUUUUUAUUAGUAAAAUAUUUUCCUUCUGACUUCGCCCGUGGACGUAUGCUAAAAGCCGAAUCACGUAAUUUCUGGUGUCCCUAUGUGAUUAUGUGUCUCAUUAUUUCUUAAUUUCACUUUAGUUGCGUGUCUGCGACACCCCUCAAUUUAUUAACAAAAAAUGGCCAAAAUUAUAUAAGUGACCCAAAUUUUUUUGUUAUUUCCAAGAAAUCCCCAAUCUGAAUGGGCUAGACCAGAGGGAGGCAAGUUAGAAAUACAUUUCCUUCAUAGACAAUAACAGUGAUGAGUCGAUGACAUCAAGCCACGUCGGUAUCAAUAUUGAAUUAAAGGUGCAAUUAUUCAGCCAAUGAACCUUACACAUCAAGAUAAAAGUCAAGAAAAUGAAAAUUUAUCCCAAUUAAAACACUUUCUGGCUGCAUUUAGUUGUUUCCAUUAGAAGUUAAAAACAACGUUUCUUUCGUUUUGUGGGCAACUCAACUGAGUUAGCUGGCUUCUAGUGCUAGUAUGUGAAAAUAGAAGGCUAAUGAUUUAUUUAUUAUCUUUUGACAAAAUUAUUAAAGAUAUAAUAGAUUUUCUAUGAUACAAGUGAAAAAUCACAUCAACAUAGCUUUCAAUCUACAGCAGCUAGCGUUUACCAAACACUUUGUUGUAGCUUUUAAGCUAUAGCUGCCCAACCUCAAUCUCAAACGCACCCUUAAUAGGUUGAUUGAAUUUGUGAGAUAUGGAUUCCACAUAUCUCAUGACCUAGUAAUUAUACAAGUGGUUCGUGAUCAAGACACAACAUUUGCUUCCGGCCUAGUGACCCAGCAAUCGCUGCACUGGUCGCCACCUAUGGUGCCGACGAUAUUGCAUGGUCCAAUUGUGGCCUUGAAUGGAAAAAGUUGAGCAAAUUAUUUGUGGACACGAUGAUAAGUAACGCAAGCCUUGAUGCUAGUUAUGGUCAAAGAAAACAAGAGGUUAAGAAUACUAUCAGAGAUAUUCAUAACAACAAAAAGGAAAAAAAAAAGGCAUUUGCAAGCCCAUUGAUAUUGGUGAAUUGUCGAUUUCAACUUUGGCAUGUGUAAUCCAGAACCUGCGCGCUGUGGUAUGGCGCUGGCACGCUUGCAUUAACGAGGGGACAAGUCUUGGGGCUGAGCUAACAUUUAAGCUCGCAGAACUCAUGGUGCUAAUGGGAACACCAAAUAUUUUUUUGACAUAUUUUGGUGCUUUCAUGGUUUAAUUCAAGGUAUAGAAAGGAGUGUUGAGAAUGUCAAAUAAAACGGCAUUGAAUGGAAGUUGUCAAAGACACGAUCCGCACCGAACGGCAACGACACGGUUGCUAAAAAUCCUUCCAUAAUAUGCAUAUCUAAUUUUUUAAAAAGUGUAACCUCUGCAUUUAUAAAUAUACUCAAUGUAUAAUGUUUUACUUAAGAAAUGAAAAACUUGUUUGUUCAAGGAGAAUAAAGAAAAUUUUUCUAUGAUUUUUUUAUGGUUUGAACAAAGAAGGUUUUAAUGAGUAUUAUAGACCUCGAUUGAAUGUUCGAAUGUAUAAUAAAAGAGAAACUGUCACAUAAAUGACAAAGAUACUUGGAAAAAAAAAAAGGGCAGCAAUAGAGAAUUAGAUUCGACUGCACAAAUAACUAGUUAAUUCAUCAAUACAUCAUUUUCUUGCUAGAAAAUGACAAUUAUGACAGCAAGCCACGAUAGUGUCAAUAUUGAAAUUGAUUUGCAAUUAUUCAGCCAAUGUGCCUUACACGUCAAGAUAAAAGUCAAGAAAAUGAAAGUUAAUAUCAAUUAAAACACUUCCUGGGCCGCAUUUAGCUCCAGUUUUUGUGGUAGGAAAACAAAGUUUUGUUUUAAAUUCACAUGGUGUGCACUUCCUAUAUAAAUCUAGAGUUGUGUCCCACGUUGAACAAUAAAGGAAAGUCACCUAAAUAUACAUGUAGGAUAAGUUACUUUAUUUAGUAAGUUUGUAUUUUCUUCUUUCUUCUAGUUUACAUAUAAAUUUGAUUAGAUAACUUAACACAUAUUUUAAUACUUGAUCAGAAGCCCUACGUACAGGUGGAUCUAGAAACUUGAUUUCUAAGAGUAAUACUAUAAUAAAAAAAUAAUGAUUCAUAGAACCAAUAUCAAAAUUUGUUUACAAGAUUACCCCCACUCAAAGGUAAUUUUCAUAGAAAUUAAUAGGAAAUUUAAUUGUUAGUGGGGUCAAAUUGCCCCCACACUCUGAAUGUAGAUCCACGCCCGACCCUGAGUCAAGUAUAUUUUGCCACAUAUACUCUGAAUGUCGGCAGGAAAAAUCUUCCACUUUAGUUUAAAAUUUUCACUUAAAAUUUAUUUACGUUAAUAAAGUUGGUAAAGGAAAUGAGUUUAAUUAAAGAAUAUUAUAGGAGAAAUUCUAUUGUUUGGCUUUUAAUAAAUUAAUUAAUAGGUUUAAAAAGAUUAAUAUACAUCAAAAUAUUAUUAGUUGGUGGUGGUUCCACAUCGGACUAAGACGUGGCACCUUACUUGUGAGAUUAAGACAAUCAGGCUUAGACUAUUUAAAUAUGUUUGAAGCUUAGAUGGCACCGCUUCAAUUUGCAUUAAUGAAUGUCAUUCUUUACCCUAAUUACUACGUAAUUGAUAACAUGCAAUUGAAAUAACUAAUAUUAGCACUUGGCUAUAAAUGAACUAAAGGCCGUGCAAUUGAAUCUUUACUUGAUCACUUCAUUCCUUUAUUUUGCUAACACAGAUUUUGAGAUAUUAAAACGAAAUAAUAAUUGAAUCUGGCUUUGUGGGUCGAUGAUGCCAGCAACAACGAGACCACAAUUAUCACUUGUUUAUUUGCUGUAUUUGACGUUGUUUCAUAUUGGUAGUAAUAACUAAUAAGGUCGUUGUAGAGUUUUUAAUCUUUUUUUUUAUAUUAAUCACGAGGUAUCCUGGGGAGGGCCCCAACUGUGGGAGGCACCUUUAAGCUCGUACCACAACCCAGACUAGAAGUCCCCGCUCGAACCGGGAGGCACAGUUUUUAAUCUUUUUUAUAUUAAAGUUAAGUCAAUUUGUUAUAAAUAAAUAAAAAAUUGGUUGAGUUUAAUUAUAUUGCUAUGUACAUUAAAUAAUUAUAAUAUUCUCGAGGGAAAAAGACACCUAGAACCUCAAGGUUUGGGGAAAUGGUCACAAAAACUCCUAAGUUUUAAAAAAGGAACACUAAAAUCUUUUUUUACCCAUAAUACCCUUUGACUAUAGUAAUUAGAAAAUUGACUUUAAAGGUUUUUAAAUAAUACAAAUUUAAUAUAAAUCAUAUAAUCUAUCUAGUACACUAAUAAUAUUAAAUUAUUUUUUAUAUUUAAAAUAAUGUUAAAAAAUUUAAAUUAUUAUAUUUAUUUUAAUAAUAUAUUUAUAAAAUUAUAAAGAUUUUAAAUAAAUCUUUGGAUUGAAUAUAUUUUACAAUUAAAAGUCUUCCUAUUAAUAAUAUUAAAAUUAAAUUUUAAGUAAUAUAUAUUCAAAAUAUUUUUAAUUUAAUUUUAUUUAUUUUAAUAUUAUGUUUCUAUCUAUUAUUAAAAAUUACUUUAAUAUAAUAAAAUAGGUCUAAUAGAUUGAAAAAUAUGAAAAUAUUUUUAAAAUUUUAAAUUAUUUUGAAAUGUAUAUAUUAUUACAUUUAUUUCAAUGUCAUAUUUCCAUUUAUUAUAAAAUUUUGGGGUUAUUUUUUUGGGAAUUUAUAGAGUCAAAGAGCAUUAUGGUUAAAAAAGAGUCUUGGUGUCCCUUAUUGAAAACUUUAGAGUUUUUGUGACCAUUUUCCUAAAUCUUGGGGGUGUUGAAGUGGCACUUAUUGUAAGAUUGAUUUUAAAAUAUGUAAAAUUAAUUUUAUUACAUUACCAUAUGCUACAUCACCUGAAACUUAAUAAAUGGAACGUAGCAUUACUCCACGUUCACCGUUAUGACCUUAUGACAUUAGAAUUAAAAUCUUUCGUACGUUUAAAUUGUUUACUUCCAAAUUAAUCUUUCGUAAAUAUUUUGUACAGAUCUUAUCGGAGUUAGCGUGUUCAUUACAGUGUUUCUUUUCUUUUAUCCUUUCUUUUGAAACGUAUUUCCUGUGGACAAGGAAAGCAAAUAAUACCCUGCCACCAGGACCUCGCGGCUUGCCUGUAAUCGGAUACCUUCCAUUUCUCGGAAUUACUGACUUACACAAGACAUUCACGGAAUUAGCUGGUCUAUAUGGCCCGAUCUUCAAACUCUGGCUUGGCAACAAAUUGUGUGUAGUGGUUAGCUCGCCUUCAACUAGUUCUAUAAGAAUAUCCCUUUUAAGGGAUUCUCUCUCUGCAAAAUUUUUUUAUCUUCUGGUGCAUAAUAAAAACUUAUGCCACUUCAUUAACCACAGAUAUCUUUUGAGGAAACGAUGUUUCGUUUUCUUUUGUUUUUUCCUUCCUAAUCCUCGCAUAUCGUGUGAAGGCUAAUAUAUCCAAGAAUCUAAAUCUCUGUAAAUCUUUUUCUAUCCAAAUCUACAUAAUAAUUUAAUCCAUGCACAAUAUCUAUAAUUAUAUCGGCUGUCGGCUGAUUUCGUGGAGGGGGCGGCAGUUCAAAUUUUUUACGUGCAUGUUGGAUGGACGUCUCUAUUAAAGGAGAGCCACCACUUGCAUGGUAAUUUUUUUAAAUAAAUAUAUACAUUUCAAAAUAUUAUUUCAUUGUUGUAUAGUUAACAUGUCACCUUAGAUGUAUUUUAGAACUUCUCCUAUUAAAGAUAAUCUCAUGCAGUGAUACUUCUCGUGAUCUAAUCAUUAGUAGAAUCUAUAAUUUCGCUACUGUAAUAAAAUCUGUCCCUACCCUAUAUGAAUGUAGAUAUUUGACGCGAUUUGUAAUUGCUUCCGACAGGAAAACAGCAAUAGUUUAAUUGAAAUUUGUGGUAUGGAUUCCACGAAUCUUAUGACAGAAUACUGACCACUCCAACCCUAUCCACAUUUACACGAUUAAAACACAAGCUUAGAUGUGACAAUGCAUUUGUCACUUUUGUUCAAAUUCAUCCUGAAACACUAUACACUAAAUAAUCGAAUAUGGCUUCGUGGGUCGAUGAUGCUAGCAGCAACGAGACUGCAAUUAUCACUUGUUUUGUUGCUGUACUUGUCGUGGUCUAUUUCGCAUGGAAUGUAAACAAAUCAAGUAAAGCAAAUGCUAAAUUGCCACCAGGAUCUCGGGGCUUGCCAGUAGUCGGAUACCUCCCAUUUCUUGGAACUACUGACUUACACAAGACAUUCACGGAGUUAGCUGGAGUUUAUGGUCCGAUCUUCAAGAUUUGGCUUGGGAAUAAAUUGUGUGUAGUGGUGAGCUCGCCUACCCUAGUUAAACAAGUGGUCCGUGAUCAAGAUAUAACAUUCUCAAACCGCGACCCACCGAUCGCUGGAACUGUGACCACCUACGGUGGCAAUGAUAUUGCACUUUCCAAUUAUGGUCCCGAAUGGAAAAAGUUGCGAAAAUUAUUUGUGAGCAAGAUGAUGAGUAAUGCAACCCUUGAUGCUUGUUAUGCUCUAAGAAAACAAGAGGUUAAAAAUACUAUCAGGGAUUUGUACAACAACAAUAAGGAUAAUAUUGGCAGUGGCAAUGGCAAGCCCAUUGACGUUGGUGAAUUGUCGAUUUCAACUUUGGUACGUGUUAUGCAGAACAUGCUGUGGGGUCAAGCAUUGGAAACAAGAGAGAAAGAGAUUACUAAUCUCGGGGCUAAUCUUGCAGAACUCAUGGUGCUACUGGGAACACCAAAUAUUUCGGAUAUUUUUCCAGUGCUUUCAUUGCUUGACAUGCAAGGUAUAGAGAGAAGAGCUAAGAAGAUUUCUCUAUGGUUUGAAAACAUUAUCAAUUCUGGUGUUGAACAGUAUAGAAACAAGUUUUCUGUUGUUAAAGGUGAAGAAGCUGCAGCAGGAAAAAAUAUUGAACGAUCAAGAAAUAAGGACUUCUUGCAGUUACUGUUGGAGCUUCAGGAAAAUGAAGAUAGUGCUUCAUCUAUUAGCAUGAACCAACUAAAGGCCGUGCUCGUGGUAUGUUAAGCAACUAGACACAAAAAGUUGUAAAAGCACAGUGAUAUAUUUGCGCGAGGCCGCGAGUGAUGUUUUGCCUCGAGAACUCUCAAUUUUAUCUUACGGUAAAAAAUGUUUUUCAACUUUUUUUAAUUAGAAUUUUAUUGCAAUUUAUUUAACAGGACAUAAUUGUGGCCGGAACCGACACCACAACUACGAUGGUGGAAUGGACAAUGGCAGAGUUGAUGCAACAUCCACAAGUAAUGAAGAAAGUUCAAGAAGAAUUAGCUCAAGUUGUGGGCAUGGACAGUUGUGUUGAAGAAUAUCACUUGCCUAAAUUAAAUUAUUUAGAUGCUGUGGUGAAAGAAACAUUUCGUUUGCAUCCUGCGUUGCCCUUAUUGGUACCUCGCACGGCAAGCGAGAACAGCAAUAUUGGUGGCUAUACCAUUCCCAACGACACUAAUUUUAUGUUGAAUGUUUGGGCUAUUCACAGGGAUCCUCAACUUUGGGAUAAUCCCUUAGAUUUUCGACCUGAGAGGUUCUUGAAUGAUGAUAUCAUAAGCAAAUUCAAUUACUCGGGUAACAAUUUUCAGUACUUGCCAUUUGGUUCUGGUAGAAGGAUGUGCGCUGGCAUUCCUCUAGCUGAGAGGAUGUUGAUGCUUGUUCUGGCUUCGUUGUUGCACUUGUUUGAGUGGAAAUUGCCCCCGGGCACAAAGCUAGACUUAGCUGAAAAGUAUGGGAUUGUCAUGCGGAAAAAAGAGCCUCUGAUUGCUAUUCCAACACCAAGGCUACCAAAUUCAGAUCUCUACCAGUAAGAUCAAAAUGGUUGUGAUGAUAUUAUUUCCCAUUGUAUUGGAAUAUUUUUGUGUGAUUUGAAGUUCAAUCAUAAUAAAAUAUUUUAAUAAAAUGUCCUCGGUUGCUAAUUUUUCAAUAGUAUACUCUAUCAUCGUUUCUAACUGUCUUUUAGAGCCAUUUGGUCUAAUUUAUUUUUGAAUUAAAAUCCAUAAAUAUUUAAAUUUUUGAAUCAUAUUAAGAAUUAUCUGGAGUGUAUGGUCUGAUCUUCAAGUUCUGGCUUGUAAACAAAUUAGAGUUCUGAUAUUUGCCCCGGGUCAAACCCCGAAAUUAAAUAAAACGGCGUCGUUUUGUUUUUUUUUUUUUUUUUUUCUUUUUUACUUCUUCCAAACGUUGCCAUUUCACUUGUCAUUUGCAAGUGACUCCAUUGAUCCUUAGUUGAAACAGAGUUACACCGUAAAUCUCUUCCUCUUCGUUUCUUCGUUUCACCAGGGAACGAGACAGAUAAAAUCCAGCCAUUCUUCGACAUAACAAGAUAUCGAUUAGAAUCCAACGACAUAACUAUAAACCAUGACAUUGCGCUUGAUUUUGCGAAAUACCGAUUAAGAACCAGUAACUUUGAAUCCAAUGACCGUUAAGAGUUUGAAAUUGGUUUCAAAUGACUAAUGAGUUAUCAGAUUUCUUUGCGUCUACAUUUUCCUUGAAGGUUUCUCAGCAGCCAAACAAAUACAAAGCAAAUUGCAGAAGAAACACAUUUUGUUCCAAUGAAAAAUGUACGGAAACAUUUUAAAUAUGGAAAAUUACCUCAAAAUGAAGGCUCGCAAGAGAUUCGAGCAACAAAUUAGAUCAAAGGAACCGGCGCUGAGCAAGAAAGUGAGCUCAAAGAUUCCGAAACACAAACGUAAAUUCACAAAAAUGCAAAUCUAUGAUGAACGCCAAGAUCAAAAUUUUCGAAGAAAGGGAGCUGAAAAAAUAAAUGAAACGUCAAACUAGAUGACAAUGGAUUUGCUUCUUCAAAGGAGACAAUGAAAUUGUUACUAGAGACAGCUAGAGAAAUAGAGAGAGAGAGAGAGAGAGCUUGAAUUGGCUGUACCCCCACCAGAAAGUGGGUAGUGCCUUUUCCACUUGGACUUGAUAUGCGAAUCUGAAAAAAUCUGAACGAAGGACUGACUCAUCCCAGCUCGAAAGCAAACCAAGCUAGGACUGACUGAAAACGUUGCCGUUUGGAGAAGUUAAAAAAAAAAACUAAACAAAACGACGCCGUUUUGUUUAGUUUCGGGGUUUGACCCGGAAUUUGACCCGGGGCAAACAUCAUUUUCCAACAAAUUAUGCAUGGUCGUGUACACGCUUUCCCUAAUUAAGCAUGAGGUUCGUGAUCAAGGCACAACAUUCACUCCCUGCGACCCAACAAUCGCUACAUUGUUUGCCACCUAUAGUGCCAACGAUUUUGCACGGUCCAAUUAUGGUCCCCAAUCGAAAACGUUGCGCAAAUGUUUUCUGGGCAAGAUGAUAAGUAACGCAAGCCUUGAUGCUUGUUAUGGUCUAAGAAAACAAGAGGUUAAUAUAUAUAUAUAUAUAUAUAUAUAUAUAUAUAUAUAUAUAUAUAAAUUGGCAUUGUCAACUUUUGUAUGUUUUAUUCAGAACCCGCUGUGGGUUGACGCUAGCAUGCUUGCGUUAGGAGACGAGGGGACCAAUCUUGGGGCUGAGCUAAAAUAUAAGCUUGUAGAGAUCAUCUUGCUAAUGGUAAUGUUUUCCGAUGCUGGUUUAAUUCAUGGUAUAAAAAGGAGAACAAAAAAGAUUUUUCUAUGCUUUGAAAAUAUUAUAAUUUUUAUUUUAUAAUUUUUAAUAAAAUCUCUCAUUGAUAGCCAAACAAUUAAAAUUUUUGUAAAGCUUUUGUGGACUUUUGAUCGCGUAUGGUGCCAAUGUAUUGCGUGGUCCUAUUAUGGUUCCAAAUGGAGAAAGUUGCACAAGUUUUUUGAGUACCAGAAGAUCAGUAAUGUAAGCCUUGAUGGUUGUUAUGGUCUAAGAAAACAAGAGGCUAAAAAUUCUAUCUGGGAUUUUUAUAACAACAACAAAAUUGGCAAGCCCAUUGACAUUGGUGAAUUGUCAGUUUCAACCUUGGUAAGUGCGAUUCAGAACAUGCUGUGGGGUGAAACGCUUGAAAUAACAAAGAAAUGGAUUUACUAAUAUUGGGGCUGGGCUAAGAUUUAAGCUUGCAGAACUCACGGUGCUAGAGGGAACACCGAAUAUUUUGGAUAUCUUUCCAGUGCUUUCAUGGUUUAAUAUACAAGGUUUUCAGAGAAUAGCAAAGAAGAUUUCUCUAUGGUUUUAAAAUAUUAUCAAUUCUACUGCUGAACGCUAUAGAAACAACGUCUCUAUUGUCAAAAGUGAAGAAGCAGCAGCAGCAGGGAACAAUAUUGAAGGAAGGAAUAAGGACUUGGUGCAGUUACGCUUGGAGCUUCAAGGUAAAGAAGACAAUGCUUCAUCAAUUAGCAGGACGCAAUUUAAGAGCUUGCUCGUGGUAUGUUGCGCAACUAGCCACAGACAGUUACAGAAACUGAGUUUGGCAGAUUACGACCGUUUCUGGUGAUUACAUAAUUAUUUGUGGCUGUUUUUUUUUUUUAAUUGUAAUUUUCUUAACAGGAUAUAAUUUAGGGUGGAACCAACACCACAACUAUAAUGGUGGAAUGGACAAUGGCAUAAUUGAUACAGCAUCCACAAGUAAUAGAGAAUGUACAGGUAGAACUAAAUCGGGCCGUGGCCAUCGACAGCCAUGUUGAAGAAUUUCACCUAGCUAAGUUAAAAUAUUUAGAUGCUGUGGUGAAAGAAACAUUCUGCACUGUAAUAUAAUACAUGAAUCAUAUGUCCUCUAUUGUUUUUUUAUUUUUCUCUUUUUUUCAAUAGCUUAAUCUAUCAUUAAAAUCUUCUGAAAUUCUAAAUUAAUAUACAUUCAACCUAGAGUUCAAGCCAAAGUUUUAUUGAGCAUUAAAAAAAAAAAAAAUUCUACGACUCAAAAUUUUGUGGAGUAUAAAUUAAAAAUUAUGCGCCUACUAAGAGACAAAAAAUAAAUGAUACACAUUAACCAAUCAAAGGCGAACAAGAGAUUAUUAACAAUAACCUAAUAAUAAAAUUAUAAUGAAUAAAAAAGAAAUGGUACCUAGAAACACAUCACAGCCAUUUAAGCAAUCACUUACCCACAAAAUCCAAACAUAUAAACUAUGUGGGGGGGGGGGGGGGGGGGGGGGGUGUCAUGAUACCUUUGGGUUUCAUGAUAAUCAAAAUUGCAAUACCAUUAAAGACUCAAAAAUAAAAAAAAUCAUAGCCAAUAAAAGAGAAAAAAUAACCCACAAAAAAUCAUCAAGAAAAUAAAUUUGAGACUAAGAGAAGAUAUUAAUUAAACCCUGGGUUGCCUUGGAACCACGGCUUUGGCUUCCAUUUUUCAAUUCUUGGCGACAAGUCAUUUCUUGUUUGUUUACAAAGAUGACGGCUGAUUAAUGAAGCUCUAUUAACAAUGAAUAAAUAAAAAAACUGGCGCCUUGAAAAGACUAACGGUCAUAUUUUUCAACUCCGAAUUAGUGCCGUUUGAUGAGUCCUUGCCAAAACAAUCACUAGGCAAAUAACAAUCAUUUUUCAACCAGCAAAACUCAUUCAUUGUAUUUCACCUUAGUCAAGAUUUAAAAAUUGUUUCAAAAUAAACCUAGUGGUUAGAACCCAAGCGUCACAAUUGUGAGGUCAUGGGUUUGAGCCCCCACAACGUAUUGUGGGGGUUAAUUUUCUUCUUCAAUUUGAGUGAAAACAGUUCUCUCCCUUUCGAAAUGUGGGUGGAGUGGACGUCCCUCAAAUAUUAGAGAGGGUUCAAAUUUGGAUUGUACUAUAUAAGAUUUAUAAAUUAGUCCCAGUAAUUAUCUGAUUGUAAAUAUCAAUAUACUAAUCUAAUUAAAUAUGAGUUGUAAUAUGAGCGUUAGUCUCAUGUAAUUAAAAAAAAAAUGUUUCAAAAUAGGAUUCUUAAAAGGUUGGGGAAAUGGCCAUCAAUAUCCCCAACUUUCCAAAAAGAGACACCAAGACCCAUUUUGACCAUAAUACCCUUUACUUCUAUUAUCCCCAAAAAAUUGACUCUAAUGUUUUAUAAUAAAUAAAAAUAUAACAUUAAAAUAAAUGUAAUAGUAUAUACAUUUUAAAAUAGUUUCAAUAUCUAAAAACCAUUUUAAUAUUUUAAAUCCUAUUAUAUAUAUAUUAAAGUAAAUUUUAUAAUAAAUAGAAUCAUAAUAUUGAAAUAAAUGCAUUAAAAUUUAAAUUAUUUUUAAUAUUAUGUAAAAUAAUAAUUUUAUCAUUAUAAGUAUAUGAGAAUUUUUUUAAUUGUAGAAUGUAUUUAAUGCAAAUAUUUAUUUAAAAUCUCUACAAUAAAUAAAAAUAUACUAUUAAAACAAAUCUCUACAAUAUAUACAUACAUACAUAUACAUUGGCCUGGUAUUUUAUUUUUCAUUUUUUAAACUUAUUAAAUCCUCUAACUAUCAUUUGAUUAUUUUUUUCAAUGAUGAAGAGGCCAUUGCCGGAUAAAUUAUUAAAAUCAACUAGUUCUACAAGAAUGUCCCUUUUUAAAGGAAGAUGAUUCUCUCUCUCGAAAUUUUUUAUCUUGUGCUACAAACUAAAAACUUAUGCCAUUUCAUUAACCACAGAGAUCUUUGAGGAAAUGAUGCUUCGCCCCCCCCCCCCCCCCCCCCCCCCCCCCCCCCCCCCCGCGGCGCCAAAAAGUGUCCUUCCAUAUUUUGUGAAGGCUAAUACAUCGAUGAAUCUAGAUUUCUUUAAAUUUUUUGUUUUACUCAAUUCGAGAUAAUAAAUAGUUUAUCUUUAUUAAAUCUUUACUUUAACAAUGAUAGAUAUUCAAUCCAUGCAAAUAUCUAUCAUUGUAUGAGCUGAUUGCGUGGAGGGAGCGGUAAUUGAAAUCUAAUUGAAAACAGCAGAAGGCUGUUCUUGACAGAUCUCAAAUAUAUUACGGACACGUUGGGAGACAUCUCUAUCAUAGAUAUCCCCAUGCAGUGAUAUUUGUCGUGAUCUAAUUUUUAGUAAAUCUGUAAGAGAGAUUGUAACAUCUUUCAAGUUUUUUGGUUUGAUAUUCUAGACGAAAACGGUUUGUCGUUUCUUGAGCAAACGGCUAACCGUUUAAGUCCAGAGAGCAUGUUUGUUGUUCUGGAUAAAACGGCUCACCGUUGUUGCGAAAACGGCUAACCGUUUAACUCAAGAGAGCAUGUUUUAUGUUCUAGAGAAAACGGCUCACCGUUAUUGAGAAAACGGCUAACCGUUUAUUUACAGAGAGCAACGUAUUUGAUAUUCUGGAAUAAAAUGGCUCACCAUUUAUUGAGAAAACGGCUAACUGUUUAUUUCCAGAAAGGCGUCAAUUAGAAAAACGGUUAGCAAGAAUGAAAAUUUCAAUUGACAAUCGAUGCAAAUUCAAACCAAAAGAGUGUCUUCGAAAAAGUACCAUUUCUAAUGGUUGUAUUCUUUCAAAUAAACAUCUUCUUCAUUAAAGAAAUACACACAAUUAGAUUGAUAAUCAGAUUUUGACAGGUUUCUUAUAUGUUCUGGAAAUACAAUCUUAUUUGCUAGAGAUUGUAUUCAGGAUUUGUUAUAUCUUGGGGGUAAUUUGCCAUUAAAACUAUAUAGCAAACCAAGAUUGGUGAGGGCAAAUAAAACCUUAAAGGAAAGUAUGCAAACACGUCUCAAAUCCUAUGAAACUUUCUUUGUUCUUUGCCUCCAUAUUCUUAUUAUUCACUAACAAAAUCCCCAUGCAGUGAUAUUUGUCGUGAUCUAAUUAUUAGAAAAAUCUAUGAUUUCGCUACUGUAAUAAAAUUUGUCACUACUCUACAUUAAUCUAAAUGUCUGAUGAGAUUUGUAAUUGCUUCCGACGGGAAAACAGUUAAUAGGUUGAUUGAAUGUAUGUGGUAAAGAUUCCACGUAUCUCACGACAGAAUGCUGACCACUGGAACCCUAUCUACUUUUACGCGAUUAAUUCACGAGCUUAGGCACGACAAUUGCAAUACAAAUUAUCCCUUCAUCAUAUAUUUCGUUAAAAUUCAUUCUGAAGCACUAAAACUAAACAAUCGAAUAUGGCUUUGAGGGUCGAUGAUGCCAGCAGCAAUGAGAGUGCAAUUAUCACUUGUUUAGUUUCUGUGCUUGCCGUGGCUUAUUUAGCAUGGAAUGUGAAAAAAUCAAGGAAAGCAAAUGCUAAACUGCCACCAGGACCUCGCGGCUUGCCUGUAGUCGGAUACCUCCCAUUUCUCGGGACUACUGACUUGCACAAGAAAUUCACGGAAUUUAUUUUACUAUUAUAUUUAUAUUCAAAAUAAUUUUAAUUAGCUUUUAAAAUGAAUGAUUUUAGGAAAUUAUAAAUAAAGGUAACUAAGAAUUCUCUUAAUGUAAUAUAUUAUUAAUUAGUUUAAAAAUACAAAUUUAUUAAUUAGAGAAAUUAUUAGUGAAUUUAAAUUAAUGAUCUUAAUGAUUUGUUUGUACGAUUGCCCCCAAUCAAAGGUAAUUUUCCUAAAAAUUAUUAGGAAAUUAGAGAAAUUUAAUUUUUUUAGUGGGUUCAAUUGCCCACACACCCCGACUGAAGCAUUUUUUACAAUAUGUACUCCGUUUGUCGGCAGGAAAAUAAAGGUCUUGACACAUGAUCACUUCACUCCUUUAUUUACUUUGCUAACGCAGAUUUUGAGGUAUUAAAACAAAUAAUAAUUGAAUAUGACUUUGUGGGUCGACGACGCCAGCAACGAGGAGACCGCCAAUUAUCACAUUUUAAGUUUGCUGUAAUUGCCGUUGUUUUAUAUUAGUAGAAUAUUAGUGAUAAGAUAAUUGUAGAGUUUUCAUUUUUUUAAUAUUAAAAUCAAGUCAAUUUAUUAUAAUAAAUUUAGUUGAAUUUAAUCGUAUUACCACAUAAAUUGAAUAAUAAUAGAAUUCUCGACAAUAUUUCAAUAUUUUAAUCUCAAGCAUUGGAGUGGCAUUUAUUUGUUAUACGGUCGAUUUUAGAAUUUAUAAAAUUAUUCGUUGCUGAAUUGCACCAUAUGCUGCAUAACCUGAAACUUAAUAAACGGAACGUAGCGUUGGCACCGUUACUCAACAUUCACUGUUACGACUUUGUGACAUUAGAAUUAAAAUCUUUUCCACAUUUAAUUUGUUUACUUCCAACUUAAUAUUUAACAAAAUGUAUGUUAGCAUUGUAUGCCAUAUCAUCUGUAAUUUUGUCAGGAUCGAUCAUUCUAAUUUUUAAGCAGAACUUUUUGUCAAUGGACAAACACCUCAUACAGCUUGUCAGAGGCAUUAGUAUGAUGUAAAAUUGUAAUGGUAUAUCUUGAAUUAUUUUAGAAUAGUGAAUAACUAUUUGGAGCAAUAAAAACAAAUAAGACAGAUGAGAAAAUGGCUAAAAUUAUAUAAGUGACCCAAAAUUUUUUGCUAUUUCCAAGAAAUCCCCAAUCUGAAUGGACCAGAGGGAGGCAAGUUAGAAAUACAUUUCCUUCAUAGACAAUAACAACGAUGAGUGGAUGACAUCAAACCACGUUGGUAUCAAUAUUGAAAUAAAGGUGCAAUUAUUCAGCCAAUGAGCCUUAGUACACAUCAAGAUAUAUAAAAGUCAAGAAAAUGAAAAUUUAUCCCAAUUAAAACUCUUUCUGGCUGCAUUUAGCUGUUUCUGUUUAGGGAUGGCAAUUUAAUCCGGACCCAGCCCGACCCGGAUGAAUCCAGAAAAUUCGGGGUGGAUUCAACCCGUACCGGAGUGAAUAAAAUCUGAUAUUCAAAUUCAAUAUUUUCAACCCGGACGUUUCCGAGUCCGGAUCCGGAUUUGGGUAAACCCGCAUAUCCGGAACCCGGAUCCGGAUAACUAUUUUAAUAUUAAUUUUUAAAUCAUUUUAAAAUAAAAAAAAAUUAGAAAAAAUCAGCCCUAAUGCCCUUCCACAGCCACGGCAGCCAAACCAAACCCAGACAUUUCCUCUCUCUCUCUUUAGCCCUUCUUUUCAACAAAUCAUCAUCGUUGCUCAUCAUCGUUUCGUCGUGUUCAUCUUCAUCUUCAUCAUCAGCUGCCGUUUGUCCAGCUAUGUCACUAGUUUUGGCCGCCGUUUCCGUUUGUGCACCUUCGCAAAUCGGGAUCUCGAUUUGGCCGCCAACACUUCUACCCCCUGGUGUUUUGCUUUGUCCUCGACAACUUCUUUGUUGAUAAAUUGACGGGCACUUAUGAAUGCAUUUGUCUCUGUUUCUUCAUUUACACCUUCCCAGUUGUUUGUUCAUUUGCUUUUUGGAAGGAAAAAAAAAAAAAAUCAGCCACCAUUUAUCCUUCCCCUUUUCUUGACCUAACCCCACAAAGCCCAAUUUGUCAUCAUCAUUCAUUGGCAAAUUUGUUAUCAUCAUGGUUGAGACAUCAUGAUUAUCUUUGAUAAUUGAAUUUGUGUAAUAUGUUACCUUGGAUUUUAUUUCUAAGUAUUUGAUUUUGAAUUAUUUUCCAUUAUUGGUGUUAAUAGAUAGAAGAUUAGAAAGGAAUUCUUCACUGAAUAAAGAGAUGGGAAAUUGCAUCUUUUAGCAAUCAUCCGGGUUAUAAACCCGGAAUCCGGAAACCAGGAUUUUUCCGGGUUUAACCCAGUCCGGACCCGAAUGAAAAAUAUCCGGGUUUACAUCCGGGUCUGGUAUUAAAAUUUAUCGUCCGGAUCCGGAACAGGGAAGACAAAACCCGGACCCGAACCCACAUUUUGCCAUCCCUAUUUCCAUUUGAAGUUAACAACAACGUUUCUUUCGUUUUGUGGGCGACUUGACUGAGCCAGCUGGAUUCUAGUGCUAGUAUGUGAAAAUAGAAGGCUAAUGAUUUCACGUUCACUAGCCCACCUCCCCUCCUCUCGUUUCCUCUGAAUCAAUUUUCACGUGUGGUACCGAUUGAAAAUAUCUCUGACAUUUCGUGGACAUCUCUAUUGAAAAUAUCUCAGACAUUUCACUCAGGCAAACUUAUUAAUAUAAAAAAUCUAUGAUUUUUUCGUCUUAUACUGUAGAAAAAUUUGUCUAUACAUUAAUCUAGAUGUUUGAGGUGGUUUAUACAUCUGUGGUAUAGAUUUAUAGGUUGAUUGAUACGUCUGUGGUAUAGAUUUUAUGUAUUUCAUUAUCAAAUGCUGGCCUUUGGGACCCUAUCUACAUCUAUUUAUAAAACUAACGGGUGCCAGUUAUGCCAUUACAAAUUAUCCCCUCUUCAUACAUUUCCUUAAAAUUCUUCUGAAACACCAAAACUAAAUAAUCGAAUAUGGCUUUGCGGGUCGAUGAUGCCAGCAACAAUGAGGCUGCAAUUAUCACUUGUUUAGUUUCUAUGCUUGCCGUGGUUUAUUUCGUAUGGAAUGUGAACAAAUCAAGGAAAGCAAAUGCUAAACUGCCACCAGGACCUCGCGGUUUGCCUGUAGUCGGAUACCUCCCAUUUCUCGGAACUACUGACUUGCACAAGAAAUUCACGGAAUUAUCCGGAGUUUAUGGUCCGAUCUUCAAGCUCUGGCUCGGAAAUAAAUUAAGUGUCGUGGUGAGCUCACCUUCCCUAGUUAAACAAGUGGUUCGUGAUCAAGAUACAACAUUCGCAGACCGUGACCCGCCGAUCUCAGGACUAGUGACCUCCUUUGGUGGCAAUGAUAUUACAUGGUCCAAUUACGGUCCCGAAUGGAGAAAGUUGCGCAAAUUUUUUGUGGGCAAGAUGAUGAGUAACGCAAGCCUUGAUGCUUGUUAUGCUUUAAGAAAACAUGAGGUUAAAAAUACUAUCAGGGAUUUGUAUAACAACGGCAACAAAAUUGGUAAGCCCAUUGACAUUGGUGAAUUGUCGAUUUCAACAUUGGUAUGUGCUAUGCAGAACAUGCUGUGGGGUGAAGCGCUUGAAUUAAAAGAGAAAGGGACAACUAAUCUUGGGGUUGAGCUAAAAUUUAAGUUUGCAGAACUCAUGGUGCUACUGGGAACACCGAAUAUUUCGGAUAUCUUUCCAAUGCUUUCUUGGCUCGACAUACAAGGUAUAGAGAGGAGAGCAAAGAAGAUUUCACUCUGGUUUGAAAAAAUUAUAAAUUCUACUGUUGAAAAGUAUAGAAGCAAGGACUUUAAUGUUGAAGGUAAAGAAAGAGCAGGGGAAAAUUUUGAAGGAUCAAGGAACAAGAACUUCUUGCAGUUACUAUUGGAGCUUCAAGAAAAUGAAGACGGUUCUUCCUCAAUUAGCAUGAACCAAUUUAAGGCCGUACUCGUGGUAUGUUAAGAAACUAGCCGCAAACAGUUAUACAAGCACAGCUGUAUAUUUUGCAUGAGUGAUAUUUUCAACCUUUUUUUUUUAUAAUUAGAAUUUUAUUGUAACCUUUUGGACAGGAUAUAAUUACGGCUGGAACCGACACCACAACUACGAUGGUGGAAUGGACAAUGGCAGAGUUGAUGCAGCAUCCACAAAUAAUGAAGAAAGUUCAGGAAGAAUUAGCUCAAGUUGUGGGCAUGGACAGUUGUGUUGAAGAAUUUCAUUUGCCUAAAUUGAAAUAUUUAGAUGCUGUGGUGAAAGAAUCGUCUCGUCUGCAUCCUGCAGUGCCUUUAUUACUACCACGCAGAGCAAGCGAGAGUGGCAGCAUUGGUGGCUAUAACAUUCCCAAAGAUACAACUAUUAUGUUGAAUGUUUGGGCAAUCCACAGGGACCCUAAACUUUGGGAUAAUCCCUUAGAAUUUCGACCCGAGAGGUUUCUAGAUGAUGGUAUCGCGAGUAAGUUCGAUUACUCAGGUAACAAUUUUCAGUACUUGCCAUUUGGUUCUGGUAGAAGGAUGUGUGCUGGGAUUCCUCUAGCUGAGAGGAUGCUGAUGUUUGUUUUGGCUUCGUUAUUGCACUCAUUUGAGUGGGAAUUGCCAGCUGGCACAAAGCUAAACUUAUCUGAAAAAUUUGGGAUUGUCAUUAAGAAAAAAGAGCCUUUAGUUGCUAUUCCAACACCAAGACUAUCCAAUUCAGAGCUCUACCAUUAAGACAGAAUGGUUGUGAUGAUUUUGUUAAUUUCCGAAGAUUUGUAUGUUAUGUCAAGUUCAAUCGUAAUAAAAUAUUUCAAAUAAGAGUCCUCCGUUGCUUUUUUUUUUUUUUUCAACCGCAUAAUCUGUCGUCAUGCUUGUAUUUGGGGCUACUUUGGAAUAAUUAUGUUUGAAUUACAAUAUAUAAAUAUUACAUUUUAAAAUUUUAUGAGAUUCUAAAUUUAUACACGUUCAAUAACCCACUUCAUAUAUGUUUAACACAAUUUAUAUCAUACAUUGUAUACCCAUUUGUCAUAAAUUACGCUAUUUUAUAUCUCUAAAUAAUAUUACAUAUUGAUAUUAUAAAAUGUUGUUAACUCACGUGUGUAUAUAUAUAUAGCAAGUCACGUGCAUAUAUUAUUGGUUGUUAUAUGUUUGCUAGUUUGAUAGGAUUUCCUUUCCUUGUGAACUAGGGUAAUUCUUAUGUACAUAUAAAUAUUGAUCAAUAAGAGUGCAGAUGAUGACUGCAGUUUUGCAUCGUAGAAAUUCUUCGUAAAAUAUAUAUGUUUAUCAAAAGGCUAUACCAUUCAAUAUAUAUUGGAAAGAGAACAAAGAAGAUCUUCUUAUGGUUUGAAAAUAUUAUGAAUUCUGCUGUUGAACAGUAUGGAAACAAGGUCUGUUGUUAAAGGUGAAGAAGUCACAGGGAACAAUAUUGAAGGAAGAAAUUUCACGUUUAGUUGCUGAAUUUGCCGCUGUAUUCUAUCGGUAGUAAAAAGAUUAGAGUUUUUAUUUUUCUCUAUUAAUGUUAAGUCAAUUUUCUAUAACAAAUUCGGUUGAGUUUAAUUGUGUUACAAUAUAAAUUGAAUGAUAGUAGAAUUUUCAACGAAUAAUUCAAUAUUUCUAUCUCGAUUGUUGAAGUGCCAUUUAUUUGUUAUACGAUCGAUUUUAAAAUUUAUAAAAUUAUUUGUUACUAAAUUGCAUCAUAUGCUAAAUCACCUGAAACCUAAUUUCAUAACUAACCCUUUAUUUUUAGUUCUCAAGAAAUCUUGUAAGAACAAAAUUCUUUUGUAACAAAACGUUUACAACAAAUUAAUUUGUAACUCAUUCCUGUGCGAGAAUCACUCUCAAUUUCCUUCAAUUGCUGUUUAACAAUCAUCUGCUUAUCAAAAUUCAAGCAUAAUCUUUUUUUUUAAUUUCUUCAUCAUUCUUUUGAAAAAAAAAAUCAGGAUAUGCUGUUAAAUUUUGAAAUAAAUUAUCUCAAAAUAAUUACUAACCAGAAAAAACAAAGGGGUUUAACUAGGUUAUGCAUACCUUUGAAAAUUAUAUGUUGAUCGAUAAGAAUGAUGAUCACGAUUGACGAGUUUAAUUAAAAUAUAUAAGAUUUUAAAAUUAAUCAGGGUUAAAUUGUGAAUUUUAGAAAGAGAGGUUUUGUGAGAAUGUUGAAAGGGUGUUAAUAGUUCCACUCUUUUUAAAAACAACCAUAGUCAUCAUUUUUCCAUGGUUGUUUUUAAAAAGAGUAUUUCUUCUUCCCAUCUCCAUCUUAUUUAGAAAUUUCCCAGAGCCUUUGUUUCCCACCUUUCAUUUUUCUUCUUUCUAAUUUAAUAAUCCACCCUUCUUGUAUUCAAACUAAAAAAUUAAAAUCUGAAAAUUUAAAACCCAAUAUUAUAGUAUUAUAAAAAUAAUUACUCACAUUUUAUCAAACACCUCCAUUCUUCCAAGGCCUUGUUUUAGUAGUAGGCUUUUAUUAUCUCAAUAAAAUUGAAAAAAAAAAUCUCAAUAAUAUUGGAAAAAAACCCUACCCAUAUUUGUAACUUUAAUUUAUUAUUCUCCAUAGACCUACUUUUUAGUUUUGAAUUUUGUUGGAGCCAUAUAUAAACAGAAUAUGUUGAAAUCAGCACCCAAAAAAAAAAAAACUAAUUAUAUAAUUUAUGUUCCCAAGGACAUGGCUGAGUGAUUUUCAAGAAGUUUUGUUUGGCUGGCCACUUAGGUUUAAAUCUUGGUGGAGAUUAAGGGUUAAGAAAUAAAUUUAGACUUUGCACACCCCUUUAACUUUUAAAAAGAAAUGAAAAAAUUAAUUAAUUAAUCUUUAUUUUAUUUAUUAAAUGUCAUAAUCCUAUGCGUAUUUUAUUUGUUAUCUUUCUAUUUAAAAGACGAGGGCAGAUAAAACUGAAAUAAAUUUUUAGCCCUAUCUCCAUAUUUCAAGUUCCAUAGUUAGGUGACCAGCUAAAAAAAAUUAAUUGAAAGCUACUCCAUCAAAUUAAAAAAAUUUAUUUAUUUAAUUUGUGGAGAUGUAGAAAAUCAAACCCCAUACCUUUUCGCAUACACUGAACAUAUUUUAAUACAUGACUAUCAUCCUUUAUCCUAAAUACUACUAUAACUAAUAACAUACAAUUGAAAUAAUUAAUGUUAACACUUGGCUAUAAAUAAAGGUUUUGUGCUUGAAUCUUCACGCAUGACCUUCAUUCCUUUAUUGACUUUGCUAACACAGAUUUUGAGGCAUUAAAACUAAAUAAUAAUUGACUUUGUGGGCCGAGGAUGCCAGCAACAAGGAGACCACAAUUAUCACUUAAGUUACUCUAAUUGCCGUUGUCUUAUAUUCAUAGAAUAUUAGUAAUAAGAUUAUUGCAGAAUUUUUUUAAUAUUAAAAUUAAGUCAAUUUGUUAUAACAAAUUUAGUUGAGUUUAAUCGUGUUACUACAUAAAUUGAAUAAUAAUAGAAUUCUCGACAAAUAUUUCAAUAUUUUUAUCCCAAGCGUUGGAGUGGCAUUUAUUUGUUAUACGAUCGAUUUUAGAACUUAUAAAAUUAUUCGUUACUGAAUUGCACCAUAUGCUGCAUGACCUGAAACUUAAUAAACGGAAUGUAGCGUUGGCACCGUUACUCAACAUACUGUUACGACUUUGUGACAUUAGAAUUAAAAUCUUUUGCACAUUUAAUUUGUUUACUUCAAAAUUAAUAUUUAACAAAAUAUUUUUUUCACAUUAUCAAUGGACAAAACUCCAACGAAAAUAACUACACAAGAAAAAUGUAUGCUAGUAUUGUGUGCCAUAUCAUCUGUAAUUUUGUCAGGAUCGAACACUCUAAUUUUUAAGCAGAACUUUUUAUCAAUGGACAAACACCUCACACAGCUUGUCAGAGGCAUUAUUAUGAUAGAAAACUGUAAUGGUAUAUCUUGAAUUAUUGGUAGAAUAGUUCUUUGGAGCAAUAAAAAUAGAUAAGACAGAUGAGAAAAUUGUCAAUACCCCACCGCAAAAGCAAAAGAAAAAAAGGAAAGGAGACAAAAGAGGAAGAAGAAAAAAAGGAAAGGAGACAAAAGAGGAAGAAGAAAAAGAAAAAAGAACGAAGAAAAAAAUGGUGCCGCGCUGUAUUGGGAAGAAGAAAAAAAUUAAUAAAAUAAUAAUAAAUAAUAAAUAAUAAAUAAUAAAAUAAUAGUGCACAACAAUCAUUUGAUUGCUAUAAAUAAAGGGGCAUUUUCCUCAUUUUAUUCAUCGAAUUCUUCAGUUCCUUUCAAGCGAUUUAAGAGUCUAGUGAUUUGAGAGUUUGGGAGUAUUGUGAUUUUGAGUACUAAGUUAAAAUACUAUAAUACUUGUAACUCAUUUUCACUAGUAAAAUAUUUUUCUUCUGUCUUCGCCCGUAGACGUAGGCUAAAAGCUGAACCACGUAAUUUCUGGUGUCCCUAUGUGAUUAUGUGUCUCAUUAUUUCUCAAUUUUACUUUAGUUACGUGUCUGCUACACCCUUCAAUUUACUAACAAAAAUGGCCAAAAUUAUAUAAGUGACCCAAAUUUUUUUGCUAUUUCCAAGAAAUCCCCAAUCGGAAUAGACCAAACUAGAGGGAGGCAAGUUAGAAAUACGUUUCCUUCAUAAACAAUAACAGCGAUGAGUCGAUGACAUCGAGCCACGUCGGUAUCAAUAUUGAAUUAAAGGUGCAAUUAUUCAGCCAAUGAGCCUUACACAUCAAGAUAAAAGUCAAGAAAAUGAAAAAUUUAUCCUAAUUAAAACACUUUCUGGCUGCAUUUAGCUGUUUCUAUUUGAAGUUAAAAACAACAUUUCUUUCGUUUUGUGGGCAACUCGACUGAGUUCGCUGGCUUCUAGUGCUAGUAUGUGAAAAUAGAAGGCUAAUGAUUUAUUUGUUAUCUUUUGACAAAAAAUGUUAAAGAUAUAAUAGAUUUUCCAUGAUACAAAUGAAAAAUUAUAUCAACAUAACUUCCAAGCUACAGCAGCUAGUGUUUACCAAACACUUUGCUGUAGCUUUUAAGCUACAGCUGCCCAACCUCAAUAGGUUGAUUGAAUUUGUGGGAUAUAGAUUCCACAUAUCUCAUGACCUAUUAAUUAUACAAGUGGUUCUUGAUCAAGAACAACAUUUGCUUCCGACCCAGUAACCCAGCAACUGCUGCACUGGUCGCCACCUAUGGUGCCGACGAUAUUGCAUGGUCCAAUUAUGGCCUUGAAUGGAAAAAGUUGAGCAAAUUAUUUGUGGGCACGAUGAUAAGUAACGCAAGCCUUGAUGCUAGUUAUGGUCGAAGAAAACAAGAGGUUAAGAAUACUAUCAGAGAUAUGCAUAACAACAAAAAGGAAAAAAAAAAAAAAAGGCAUUGGCAAGUCAAUUGAUAUUGCUGAAUUGUCGAUUUCAACUUUGGCAUGUGUAAUUCAGACAUUGCGCGUUGUGGUAUGGCGCUGGCACGCUUGCAUUGCCGAGAGGACAAAUCUUGGGGCUGGGCUAAAAUUUAGGCUUGUAGAACUCAUGGUGCUAAUGGGAACGCCAAAUUUUUUUAACAUAUUUCGGUGCUUUCAUGGUUUAAUUCAAGGUAUAGAAAGGAGUGUUGAGAAUGUCAAAUAAAACGACAUUGAAUGGAAGUUGUCAAAGACAUGAUCCGCACUGAACGGCAAUGACACGGUUGGUAAAGAUUUUUUCAUAAUAUGCGUAUCUAAUUUUUGAAAAAUUGUAACCUCUGCUUCUAUAAAUAUGCUCAAUGUAUAAUGUUUUACUUAAGAAAUGAAAAACUUAAUUCUUUAUGGUAUCAGAGCGAGGCUCGUUGCUCUGUUUGUAACAAAAACAAAGAAAACUAAAUUCUUCCCACAACUAUUUUUCCACCUUUUUUUCUUCCUUAAAAGCAUUCCUAGCAUUACAGAAACCCAUGCCAAUAAAAGAACAAGCCACACAUAUGUAAAAACUUUAGUUUACAAAUCUAUCAACAUCCCCAUAAAUUUUCCCAAAAAGUGAUCUUCAAAAACCAAAAAUACCAUCAAUUUUCGCAUCUUCUAGUAAACAAACUAUAAAAGUUUCGCACUCAAACAGAGCCACACGCGCCUCCACGCGCUUCCCGGAAUCACGGCCAACCACCACGCGCCUCUGUCACCACCAACUCACCCUCAUGCGCUCCAGAUGUUGCAGAAGACGCAAAACGACGUGUCGUUUUCUUCUCUAAAAGUGCAGCAACGUGGAAAUGACUUUUUGUUUUUGCCUUAAAUUGUUUUUCCUCGUUUGAAGCUAUACAACAUUUUUCUUUCUAAACCUGUUUUUUACAAUAAAAAAAGAAAAAAAUGGAGAAAACUCCAACUGAAUCUACUCAUGUUGUCAUUCAAUCUGUUCAACCUGAUGGAGUAUUUAAUGCCGAAAUUAUCCUUACUAAGACAAACUACGAUAUUUGAUCUCAAAUAAUGGAGAUGCAUCUCGCAGAAAGAAAAAAACUCCCAUAUAUUCGUAGCAGCAUAAAUCCAUCUGACAAAUUUUCAAAGAAAUAUGAGAAAUGGUAUAGUGAGAACCAAAAAGUAAAAAGAUGGUUACUCAUAACCAUGUGUCCUGAGAUCAUGAAGCGAUAGUUACAAAUUCCUACAGCCUACGAAAUUUAGAAUGCAUUAUCAAAAGCCUUUUAUAAUGGAAGCGAUGAAAUACAAGUUUUCACUCUAAAUCAGAAGGCGUUCUCUACGAAGCAAAAUGGACAACCACUCUCUAAAUUCUACGGAGAAUUGAUCAAAAUGUUUCAAGAACUUAAUCACCGAGAUAAAGUGGUCAUGAAGGAUCCAGAAGAUGUUAUAAUAUAUAGGAAGUUUGUUGGAAGAUUGAGAGUGCACAUUUUUCUUGCUGGACUAGAUGAAGAAUUUGACCAAGUUUGUGGAGAAAUUCUACGAAAAGAUACUAUCCUAGACUUAAAAGAAUGUUAUUCUCUAAUCCGAAAAGAAGAUGUACGGCAAAGCAAACUAACAAGAAGGUGGACGACUCAGAAACGUCUGCUAUGAUACCACAAGAGAACAAUGUUUUGAAAUUGUUCGAUAUCCUGACUGGUGGGAUACUCGAAGUAAUAACACAAAGCAGAGAUAAAAAACUGCAGUAGCUGAAUCCACAUCCACUACAGAUCUUAGAAAAGAAUCUUCAGCGCAAAUUGCAACCUCUGUCAAUUCAGGUAAGGUCAUUAAAACUCUUACAUUUGUUAUUAAUAGUAUAUGGAUAAUUGAUUAUGGUGCAACUGAUCAUAUGACUUUUGAUUCUUGACAAGUUUCUUAAUUGAAACCAUCUUCACAUAAACAUGUUUCUACUGUAAAUAGAACCACAACCUCAGUUAUUGGGGAAGGAUCUUUACAACUCACAAUUAAAUCAAAUUUAGACUUUGUGUUAAUUGUUCCAUCUUUAAAUUAUAAUCUUUUAUAUGUGUCUCAAAUAACCUCUUACUUAUCAUGUGUUGUAAUGUUUUGGCCCGAUCAUUGCAUGUUUAAGGACAUCCAAAUGAAGGAAACGAUUGGUUAUGAUAUUAAAUAAGGCAACUUGUAUUACCUGGAGAUGACAUCAACAAACACUGAAAAGCUAAGCCCCGCAUUAGUAGCAGACAAUUCCAUGAAAAAAAAGGAAAUAAGAAAUUUGGUUAUGGCAUAGACGAUUAGGGCAUGUGUCAUUUGAUUUCUUAAAAAAAUUGUUUCCUAGUUUGUUUCUGAAAUUUGAUAUUUGUAACUUUAAAUAUGAUGUUUGUGAACUUUCAAAUAGCCAUCGAACUACUUUUCCAUUGUCCUUAAAUAAGAAUCCAAUUCCUUUAAUGGUAGUACAUUCUGAUGUAUAGAGACCAUCUAAAGUUUCUACCAUUGGAAGAGCUCGUUGGUUUGUUACAUUUAUUGAUGAUUGUAGCAGAAUGACAUGGAUUUUUUUAUGAAAUUAAAAUCAUAUGAUGGUGACAACUCUAUUUCAGACACAAAUUUGAGUUCUACAUACUGAUAAUGGAGGCGAGUAUAUGAGCACAACAAUUCAACAGUUUUUGAAAUCACAAUGAACUCACCACCAAACCACUUGUGUGGGGACACUCCAACAAAAUGGCGUUGCUAAACAAAAAAAUAGACAUUUACUAGAAGUUGUUCAAGCAUCACUAAUUUAGGCCCGCAUGCCACUAUUUUAUUGGGGAGAAGCAUUGGCAUCCGUAGCAUACUUGAUCAAUCGGACACCUUCAAUCUUCCUUGGAUUCCAAACUUAUUUUCUAGUUCUAAAUGAAGAAUUAUGUCAUCAAAUGUGUCGAAUUUACCCCCACAUAUGUUUGGUUGUGUUGCCUUCGUUCAUUUGCCAUGACAAGAUAAAUUAUCUCCUCGAGCACUACGUUGUGUGUUUGUAGGGUAUGCCUUACAUCAAAAGGGGUACCGAUGCUAUCAUCCUCUAUUAAGAAAAAAUAUACAUCACCAUGGACAUAAUCUUUCAUGAAGAUAUCAUGUAGUACCCAUCGGAGCUUGAAUUUCAGAGGGAGUAUAAUGAAGAGGAAAUUCAUACUCUUACAUAUCUUUCACCUGAAGAAGAUCAAUCCUCCAUUGAGGUAGUAAACGUUCAAGAUACUGGAAAAGAAAACGACAAUGAUUCUCAGGCUGAGACAAGUGAAGACACAUUUAGGGAGCAAAAUAACUCAGACAUAACCACAAUCGAGAACGAGUCCAUGAAGAGCCACAUGAAGAAAUAUCUAACCAAUCAUCUGCAGAGGAUGAUCCUACCACAAAUCCCAGUCUAAUCAGAAGAAUACUUCCCCAGCAUCAAAAUAGAGGUAUCUCUAAACCCACAUAUAAGACUGACCUCUCUAGUAGAGUCAAAUACCCUAUGAGUCAUUUUGUAUCUAACCAUGGCUUAUCAAAAUCAAAUCAGUCAUUUGUGAAUCAAUUAUCUACUGUGUCUAUUCCUAACAGUGUGCAAUAAGCCUUAAAAUAUCGAAAGUGGAAAGGGCUAUGAAUGACGAAAUGAGAUCUCUUUAAAAAAAAUCAAACAUGGGAACUAAUUGAUCUUCCACCAGGAAAGAAACCAGUGGGUUGCCGAUGGAACUAGUUGAUCAUCCACCUCCAUUCUGACAAGCAAUGUUUAUCAGCAAUAACAAAUGACUGAAGCAUUUUAAUGAGGUUAGUAACGAAAAAGAGUUUAAUUAGAGAAUAUUAUAAGAGAAAUUCUAAUUUUUGAUUUUUAAUAAAUUAAAAUAUCUUAAAAUAUUAUUAGUUGGUGGUGGUUUCAUGUCAGAUUAAGACGUGACACCUUACUAAUGAGGUCGAGACAAUUAGCUUAAAUUAUUUCAAUGCAUUUGAAAUUUCCACUAAUGACUAUAAUUCUUUGUCCUAAUUACUAUGAUAAUUAAUAACAUACAAUUGAAAUAGUUAAUAUUAGCACUUGGCAAUAAAUAAUUAAAUUUCAUUAACACUAAAUAAUAAUUGAAUAUGGCUUUGUACAUCGAUGACGCCAGCAACAAGGGGACCGCGAUUAUCACUCUUUAAGUUGCUUUUAAAAUUGAUUUUAGUAGUGAUAUGAUUAUUGUAGUGUUUUUAUUUUUUAUAUUAAAAUUAAGUGAUUUGUUAUAAUAAACUUAGUUGAGUUUAAUGGUAUUACUACAUAAAUUGAAUAGUUAUCAAAUAUUUUAAUAUUUUUAUGGCAAGCGUUGACGUGGCAUUUAUUUGUUGUAUGAUGGAUUUUAAAAUUUAUAAAAUUAUUUGUUAUUAAAUUACCCCCAGAUGCUACAUCACCUGAAACUUAAUAAAGGUAUGAAGACAUGUGUGUGUGGACUGAAAUGAAGAAUAUGGAAAAGUUGAGAGCUGUUGUGCAGAUUGAGUUCAGUUGAUGGGGUCUAUUAGAUAUUGUCUGCUGACGUGGCAUGAAUUCGUUAUAAUCUGUUAUAACGAGUUCAGUAUAUCAGUAUACAAUAGAGCUGAUGGAUGGUGCCUGUUUUAGAGUCUUUUUUAUAUUCAUUUGUUCAUCAUUUUGCGCAAGAUCUGUUCCAUUGUGAUAUGUGUAAAGUCUUAUGUAAACCCACUUAUGAUUGGAUUAGUUCUUGAUUAAUAACAACGAGUAAAUUUUCCUUCAAGUGUGCUGGUCUGUGCCCCUGUUUUUUGUUCUGAUAUUGUUUCUUUGUUCUGGCAUUUCAUUUCGAUUGUGUUCUUGGUGUUUCUACUCAUCAAGAUUUAUGAGUCUUGUUGAGAUUAAAGACUUAAUAGUCUUAACAAGUGGUAUCAGAGCCUGGUGAAUCUCAGCCAUGUCUCUUUCGAAGCAUGAAAUUGAAAAAUUCACCAUUGGUGGUGAUUUCUCGCUUUCGAAAUUAAAAAUGAGGGCUCUCCUUGUGCAUUAGAGGCUUGAAUUUGCUCUGGAAAAAGAUAAUCUAGAGGCUGCUACAAGUUAUGUGACUGAUGAUAAGAAGAGACAAAUCCAAAACCGAGCUCGUAGCACUCUAGUUUUGAGUCUUGGUGACUCAAUCUUGAGAAAGAUUUCUGAAGAGAAGACAACCUUAGGGAUUUGGAACAAGGUAGAAGCUUUGUGUACAAAGAAGUCGCUAGCUCACAGACUAUUCUUGAAGAAAAAGUUAUACACAUUCUCGAUGAGAGAAGGAGUCACAAUUCAAGAUCACAUUGAUACCUUCAACAAGAUCAUUCUUGAUCUUGAAGGGGUGGAAAAUGUGACAAUAAGUGAUGAAGAUAAAGCCUUCUUCUUGUUGAGUUCCUUACCAAAGUCUUAUGAAGGCUUUGUAGAUACAAUGCUUUAUGGCAGAACAACAUUGACUCUUGAAGAUGUUAAAGCAUCUCUAAGUUCAAAAGAGAUUCAGAAGAACAAUGAGAUUGAAACAAAUAAUGGUGAUGGGCUGAUUGCCAGAUCAGAAAAGAAGAAAGAUCAGAAGAAUAAAAAUCAGGGAAAAUGACAUGGAAAGAAUUAAGAAAAUGCAGACAAGAAGAAAAAGAAGAGAAAAUGCUUCUACUGCCGGAAGGAAGGGCAUUACAUCAGGGAUUGUCUUAAAAAGAAAAAAAAAGAAAGUCAAGAGAAGUCAGGGGAUGCAGCUGUAGCCUCUGAUGAUGCCUCUGAUGGAUAUCACAUUGCUGAUUUACUUGUGGCCUCAAAUAGCAAUACUAAAGGUCAGUGGGUCAUAGACUCUGAGUGCUCUUUUCACUUGUGGCCUGAUAAAACCAUAUUUUACAAAUAUGAAGUUGUUGAUGGUGGUAGAGUCUUAAUGGGAAAUAAUAAUGUGUGUAAUCUUGUUGGUAUUGGUUCUGUGAAGAUCAAGAUGUUUGAUGGAACUGUAAGAGCUCUACAUGAGGUGAGGCAUGCUCCUAGGCUAAAGAGAAAUCUAAUCUCUUUAGGCAUGCUAGACAGCUUAGGGUAUUUCUUUAAAUCAGAAAGUGGUGGUUUAGAGAUAAGAAAGGGGACUGAGAUAGUGAUGAAGGGGGUUAAAGAAAAUGGCUUAUAUGUAUUGUAAGGCUCAUCAGUGCUUCUUCAAAAGGGAAUUUCUGCUCUUUUUGAGGAAGAUAUAACCAAGUUAUGACAUCUUAGACUUGGUCAUAUGAGUGUCAAAGGGAUGUAAGAGCUCAGCAAACAAGGGCUACUUGGUGGGGAUAGAAUCCAGCAACUGGAAUUAUGUGAAAAUUGCAUUUUUGGCAAAGCUCACAGGUCCAAGUUUCACAAGGGGGAGCAUAUGUCUAAGCAAGUUUUGGACUAUGCACAUGCUGACCUUUGGGGGCCUGCUCAAGUCCCAUCCUUGAGUGGUGGCAGGUAUUUCAUAUCACUAAUUGAUGAUUACUCAAGGAAGAUGUGGGUCUACAUACUCAAGACCAAAGAUCAAGCCUAGGAAAAAAUUCAAGGUAUAGAAAUCUUUGGUAGAAAAUCAAUUUGGAUUCAAGCUCAAAUGCUUGAGAACUGAUAAUGGUUUGGAAUUUUGUAGCAAAGAAUUUGAGGAAUAUUACAAAAAAACAUGGCAUAAAAAGGCACAAAACAGUCAGGUUCACCCCCCAGCAGAAUGGCUUGGCUGAAAGGAUGAACAUGACCUUGGUAGAUAAGACCAGAUGUAUGUUGAUAAAUUCAAAGCUUCCAAGAAGCUUUUGGGCAGAAGCUGUCAAUACAACAAGUUGUUUGGUUAACAGAAGCCCAUAUUCUGCAAUUGGCUUCAAAACACCAGAAGAAUUGUGGAAGGAAAAACCUGUAAAUUACCAAAAUCUCAGUGUUUUUGGAUGCCCUGCUUAUCUCCACAUCAAUCAAGGCAAGCUGGAAGCUAGGGCCUUGAAAGGAGUCUUUGUUGGAUAUCCUGAUGGGGUUAAGGGAUACAUAAUCUGGUGUAGAGAGUAAGGGAAGUGUAUAGUCAGCAGGGAUGUUGUGUUUCAUGAAUUUGGAUUGCUAAAAGAAAAUGCAGAGAAUGAUACUAGACUACAAAAUGAUUCAAUAAUUAUCAAACAAUCUGGAACUUCCAAGGUUAAGGUGGAGCUGUUUGGAAAUAAAGACAGUAGAAAAGAGGUAGCUGAUUAUGAAGAGAGGACCACAGCUAAAGUUGAGGAACAUGAGUCAUCAGAGUUGCCACAAGCUGACUUGCAGACUUAUCAGUUAGCAAGAGAUAGAGUUAGAAGAGAAGUCAAAGCACUAGUGAGGUAUGGCUAUGCUGACUUAAUUACUUAUGCAUUGUUGUGUGCUGAUGAUGUGGCAAUUGAAGAGCCUGCUAACUUCUCUGAAGUUAUUGAAAGUGUGCAUUGUGAUAAGUGGCUUGAGGCAAUGCAAGAUGAAAUGGGAUCCCUUCAAAGAAAUCAGACCUGGACACUUGUUCCAAAUCUAGGUAAUAAAAAGUUGAUCAGUUGUAAGUGGAUCUUCAAGAAGAAUGAAGGAAUUCCAGAUGUUGAACCUCCCAAAUAUAAAGCAAGGCUAGUGGCUAGGGGGUUUACACAGAGAAAGAGUGUAGAUUUCAAUGAAAAAUUUUCCCCUGUUCUUAAGCACAUUUCAAUAAGAAUUUUAUUAGUCAUGGUAGCCUUACUUGACUUGGAGCUUGAGCAAAUGGAUGUAAAAACAGCAUUCCUUCAUGGUAAUCUUGAAGAACAGAUAUUGAUGGCACAACCUAAAUGUUUUGAGUGCAAAGGAAAUGAGGAUUAUGUUUGUUUGCUGCAUAAGUCCUUGUAUGGACUCAAGCAAUCCCCACGACAGUGGUACAUAAGAUUUGAUGAUUUUAUGGUCUCAAAAGGCUAUCACAUAAGCAAAUAUGACAGUUGUGUUUACUUUGGUGGAUCAUAUCAAGGUGGAGUUGCUUAUUUGCUUCUGUAUGUUGAAGAUAUGUUAAUUGCAAGAAAAUAUAAGUUGGAGAUAGAGAGGUUGAAGAAAUGAAGGAUCUCGGCAAUGCCAAAAGAAUCCUUGGGAUGAACAUUACAAGGGGCAGAUCUGCUGACACUUUGUUCUUGAGUCAUGAGAAAUAUAUCAAGAAGGUUCUGGAGAGGUUUGAGAUGCAAGACUAUAAACCUGUCCAAACACCACUUGGUCCCCAAUUCAAGUUGACAGCAGCUCAAUCAUCAGAAGAUGAGUCUCAGGUGAGUGAAUUCCCAUAUGCACAGGUUGUAGGGAGCCUGAUGUAUGUAAUGGUAUGCACCAGGUCAGAUAUAGCUUAUGCAGUAAGUGUUGUCAGCAAAUUUCUCAGUUGUCUAGGCAAGGUUCACUGGAAUGUUGUAAAAUGGAUAAUGAGAUAUCUUAAGGGCUCUUUUACUUGUGGUUUGCUGUAUGGGAAGACUAAGAGUGACAUAAGUGAAGUCCUGGGGUUUGUAGACUCUGACUUUGCUGGAGAUCUUGAUAGAAUGAAGUCAACCUCAGGGUAUAUGUUUGUGUUAAACAGUUGCCUGAUUAGCUGGAAGUCAUCACUUCAGUCUGUGGUUGCUUUAUCCUCAACUGAAGCUGAGUUUGUUGCAACUACAGAGGCAGUAAAAGAGGCCAUGUGGCUAAGAGGUUUGCUUAAUGAGUUAUGGUUAAAUCAGAAAAUUGUUCAGGUUUUCUGUGAUAACCAAAGUGUCAUACACCUGGUAAAGAAUCAGAUGUAUCAUGAAAGAACCAAGCACAUUGAUGUGAAGCUCCAGUUUAUCAGAGAUGAGGUUGGAAAAGGAACUAUAAUUGUGUCCAAGAUCUAUACCAGUGUGAAUCCAACUGAUGUUAUUACAAAAGCACUUCCCACUGCAAAAUUUGAAUUCUAUGUGAAUCUAAUGGGCAUCUCGCCCAAACCUAACUAAAUUCAAUAGUGAAUUGUAGUUGAAUGAAGGUUUUUUAGGUGCUGUGUUAUUGAAAGGAUCAACUGAAUCAACUGCAAGGUGGAGAAUGUGAAGAUGUGUGUGUGGACUGAAAUGAAGAAUAUGAAAAAGUUGAGAGCUGUUGUGCAGAUUGACUUCAGUUGAUGGGGUCUAUUAGAUAUUGUCUGCUGACGUGGUAUGAAUUCGUUAUAAUCUGUUAUAACGAGUUCAAUAUAUCAGUAUAUAAUGGAGCUGAUGGAUGGUGCCUGUUUUAGAGUCUUUUUCGUAUUCAUUUGUUCAUCAUUUUGCACAAGAUUUGUUCCAUUGUGAUCUGUGUAAAGUCUUCUGUAAAUCCACUCAUGAUUGGAUUAGUUCUUGAUCAAUAACGAGUAAAUUUUCCUUCAAGUGUGCUGGUCUGUGCCCCUGUUUUUGGUUCUAAUAUUGUUUCUUUGUUUUGGCAUUUCAUUUCGAUUGUGUGCUUGGUGUUUCUACUCAUCAAGAUUUGUGAGUCUUGUUGAGAUUAAAGGCUUAAUAGUCUUAACAAAAGGGAAUGUAGCAUUGCCAUUAAUCAACAUUCACUCUUAUGACUUUAUGACAUUAGAAUUAAAAUCUUUCGUACAUUUAAUUUAUUUGCUUCCAAAUUAAUCUUUAAUAAAUAUUUUUUCACAUUAUCAUCAAUGGACAAAACUCCAACGAAAAUAACUACACGAGAACAAUUUAUGCUAGUAUUAAAUGCCACGAUAUCUAUAACUUUGUCUGGAUCGAUCAUUCUAAUUUUUUCGCAGAACUUUUUGUCAAUGGACAAACACCUCACAGAGCUUGUCAGCCGCAUUAUUACGAUGUAAAAUUGUACCGGAAUAUCUUGAAUUAUUAGUAGAAUAAUGAAGACUAUUUGGGGCAAUAAAAACAAAUAACGCAGAUAAAAAAAUGGCUAAAAUUAUGUAAGUGAGCCCCAAAGUUUUUGCUAUUUCCAGGAAAUCCCAAAUUUGAAUGGACUAGAGGGAGGCACGUAAGAAAUACAUUUUCUUCCUAGACAAUGACAGCUAUGACAUCAAGCCACGGUGGCGUCAGUAUUGAAAUUAAGGUGUAAUUAUUCAGCCAAUGAGCCUUACACAUCAAGAUAAAAGUCAAGAUAAUGAAAAUUUGGCUGUUUCCAUUUGAAGUUAAAAGCAACGUUUCUUUCGUUUUGUGGGCGACUCGACUGAGCACGCCCCAAUAGCUAUAUUUAGGGCGUCAAUUUGAUAUUUGAAUGGACAGGCAAGUAAGAAAUACAUUUCCUUCAUAGACAAUGACAACGAGGACAUCAAGCCACAUCAUUAUAGUUUGUAGCCCAUCUACAUUUAAACGAUUAAUAAACAAGCUUAGGUGUGCCACUGCUAUUAUUAAUUAUCCCCUGAUCAUUAUAGUUUCUGAAACAGUAAAACUAAACGAAAUUGAAUACAUCAACGAGACCGCAAUUAUCACUUGUUUAGUUGCGGUAUUUAACUUAAUUUUAAUAUAAUAUAUUUGUUAGUUAAACUUUUAAUAAUCAAAUAAUUUUGAUUUAAAAAUAAAAUUAUAGAAAUUAUUAAUUAUUAAUUAUUAAAAAUUCACAAUUAAGGGAACGUUCAUCAAACACACAUAGCUAUUGUUUUCUCUAUAUAUUGCAGUGUGUACGAUAUUGAGGGUUGAAGCCCCAAGCAUGCUCUAAAAUCCAGAUAAUAAUUAGAUCCGGGCCAAAUAUUCAUCAUUGUGUCAGCUGAUCAGUCGGUGGACAUCUCUAUUGAAAAUAUCUCUGACAUUUCACUCGACAAACUUAUUAAUAUAAAAAAUCUGUGGUUUUGCCGUCUGAAUAAUGUAGAAAAAUUUGUCUAUGCAUUAAUCUAGAUGUUUGAGGUGAUUUAUACAUCUGUGGUAAAGAUUUAUAGGUUGACUUAGACGUCUGUGGUAUAGAUUUUAUGUAUUUCAUUACAAAAUGCUGGCCGUUAGAACCCUUUCUACAUCUAUUUAUAAGAUUAACGGGUGCCAGCUAUGCCAUUACAAAUUAUCCCCUCAUCAGAUAUUUCGUUAAAAUUCAUUCUGAAACACUAAAACUAAAUAAUCGAAUAUGGCUUUGCGGGUCGAUGAUGCCAGCAGCAAUGAGACUGCAAUUAUCACUUGUUUAGUUUCUGUGCUGGCCGUGGUUUACUUCGCAUGGAAUGUGAAAAAAUCAAGGAAAGCAAAUGCUACACUGCCACCAGGACCUCGCGGCUUGCCUGUAUUCGGAUACCUCCCAUUUCUUGGAACUACUGACUUGCACAAGAAAUUCACGGAAUUAUCCGGAGUUUAUGGUCCGAUCUUCAAGCUUUGGCUUGGAAAUAAAUUAUGUGUAGUGGUGAGCUCACCUUCCCUAAUUAGACAAGUGGUUCGUGAUCAAGAUACAACAUUCGCGAACCGUGACCCACCGAAGGCUGCACUAGUGGUCUCCUAUGGUGGCAAUGAUAUUGCAUGGUCCAAUUACGGUCCCGAAUGGAGAAAGUUGCGCAAAUUUUUUGUGGGCAAGAUGAUGAAUAACGCAAGCCUUGAUGCUUGUUAUGCUCUAAGAAGACAAGAGGUUAAAAAUACUAUCAGGGAUUUGUAUAACAACGACAACAAAAUUGGCAAGCCCAUUGACAUUGGUGAAUUGUCGUUUUCAACAUUGGUAUGUGCUAUACAGAACAUGCUGUGGGGUGAAGCGCUUGAAUUAAAAGAGAAAGGGACCACUAAUCUUAGGGCUGGGCUAAAAUUUAAGCUGGCAGAACUCAUGGUGCUUGCGGGAACACCGAAUAUUUCGGAUGUCUUUCCAAUGCUUUCAUGGCUUGACAUACAAGGUAUAGAGAGGAGAGCAAAGAAGAUUUCACUCUGGCUUGAUAAUGUUAUAAAUUCUACUGUUGAACAGCAUAGAAACAAGGAGUUAACUGUUGAAGGUGAAGAAAGAGCGGGGAAAAAUUUUGAAGGAUCAAGGAACAAGAACUUCUUGCAGUUACUAUUGGAGCUUCAAGAAAAUGAUGACAGUGCUUCCUCAAUUAGCAUGAACCAAUUCAAGGCCGUACUCGCGGUAUGUUAAGCAACUAGCCACGAACAGUUAUACAAGCACAAUUGUAUAUUUGCAUGAGUGAUAUUUUCAACCUUUUUUUUUAAUUAGAAUUUUAUUGUCACCUUUUGGACAGGAUAUAAUUACGGCUGGAACCGACACCACAACUACGAUGGUGGAAUGGACAAUGGCAGAGUUGAUGCAGCAUCCACAAGUAAUGAAGAAAGUUCAGGAAGAAUUAGCUCAAGUUGUGGGCAUGGACAGUUGUGUUGAAGAAUUUCACCUGUCUAGAUUAAUGUAUUUAGAUGCUGUGGUGAAGGAAACAUUUCGUCUGCAUCCUGCAGUGCCUUUAUUACUACCACGUAGGGCAAGCGAGAGUGGCAACAUUGGUGGCUAUACCAUUCCCAAAGAUACAACUCUUAUGUUGAAUGUUUGGGCUAUCCACAGGGACCCUCACCUUUGGGAUAAUCCCUUAGAAUUUCGACCCGAGAGGUUUCUGAAUGUUGGUAUCGAGAGUAAGUUCGAUUACUCAGGUAACAAUUUUCAGUACUUGCCAUUUGGUUCUGGUAGAAGGAUGUGUGCUGGGAUUCCUCUAGCUGAGAGGAUGCUGAUGUUUGUUUUGGCUUCGUUAUUGCACUCAUUCGAGUGGGAAUUGCCAACUGGCACAAAGCUAAACUUAUCAGAAAAAUUUGGGAUUGUCAUUAAGAAAAAAGAGCCUUUGGUUGCUAUUCCAACACCAAGACUAUCCAAUUCAGAGCUCUACCAUUAAGACCAAAUGGUUGUGAUGAUUUUGUUAAUUUCCGAAGAUUUGUAUGUUAUUUCAAGUUCAAUCGUAGUAAAAUAUUUCAAAUAAGAGUCCUCCGUUGCUUUUUUUUUUUUUUUUCAACGGCAUAAUCUGUGGUCAUGCUUGUAUUUGGAGCCACUUUAGAAAAAUUAUGUUUGAAUUACAAUUUAUAAAUAUUACAUUUUAAAAUAUUAUGAGGCUAAAUUUAUACACGUUCAAUAACCCGCUUCAUAUAUAUUUAACACAAUUUAUAUCAUACAUUGUACACCCAUUUAUCAUAAAUUACACUAUUU
rnacentral:lncRNA from 1 species